rnacentral:lncRNA from 1 species
AACGCAGAAGUAACAGGGGAGGGAAGGGGGAGUGGGAAGGAAGAGGAAGAAGAAGAAGAGAGGAAAGAAAAGAAAAAAAGAAAAAAAAAGAAAAAAAAAAGGAAAAGAAAAAAAAAGAAAAGGAAAAAAACUUCCAAAAAACUUCUCAAAAAAACUUAAAAAUUUUUUUCUAUCUUAAAAAAUUUUUCCAAAAACUUCUACAGUACACUACAGUAAAGUUUUAGACAAACUCCCAAAAAACUCAGGUUCCAAACAGGCCCGGAGUUAAAGGUUGCAGUCAACCCGCUUCAACUCCUAAACAUGCUAGAAAGUCUUAUAAAGGUGCACCAGUUCAGCCUCAUGCUCAUAAGGAAGUUGAAGGAGAUCGUGCAAGUGGUACCAAUUCUCAACAAAAUGGAGCUGAAGAGCAAGCUACUUCACAUAAUGACAUCUUUUCACGUGCUGAAAGUAAUGCACAUGCUACGAGGCCAUCAGAAUUGCAGAAACAGCCAACUCAUAAUGUUGAUAGUGUUGAUGCUACCAAUAGUAAGAAAAAGCAGAAGAUUAGGAAGACUAGAACCCCUGUAGAUGUUCAAUUUCUUUUCACUUUUGUCUUUAGUUUUACAAUGGCAAGUAGCUAAGUUAACUAUUAUGUAAUCUGUACAAGUAAGGAGAGUUAGACCUGCCAAUAAUGCUAACCAGUCAGUUGCAAGGACCCACAAACAAUCUUUCUAUUCAAAGAGGGAGCUGUCUGAAAUAGACAAAAUAAGGAUCAACACCAACUAUGAACACUUGGACAAAGAACCCCCCCCAUUCAAGAUUGAUAGAUAGGCUGGCAUAUCAAGGAGCAACAGAGAUGGAAGAUUAGAUUAAAGUAUUUAUGAAUAUAUAUUGGCUUCGUUUGGACGUAUUCAAUCUUUUGUUUGGAUGUAUUCUAUGUCAAGGACAAUUCUAAACUUUUUACAUGUGAAACAAGGUUAACUUUGUUGGGUGUUUUCAUUAGGGGAUUCAUGGUAAUGACACUAAUAAUUAUAACUCUUUUCUACUCUUUUGUUUGGAGGUGUGCAUAUUCAAUCUCAUUUUACUGGCUCCACUAGUCUUUUGUUGUAUUUGGCAUUUUUGAAGAUGCAUUUGUGAGCCAGUUUUCUUUUGAAUACAUAUGUUGAAACUAGUACUUCACUCUUUUAUUCAUAAACUACAAUCUCAAAUAUCCAAGGUGUAAAUAACACCAACCAAAAUGAGGUGUAUAUAACAACAGCACUACCUCAAUAAAAUAAGAUACCUACUAAACCAUUUGGCAGAAUUGGUUUCGGAUUUGAAAGACAACAAUACCCUAAUAGCCAUCAGUUUAUAGUCUUCCAAACUUGUGUUCCGUACUAGGCCUCCAAAUCCACAUUGAUGCACUAAAAAUUAUCUAGGUUACAAGAAAAAGAACAAUAAGUAUUUGUUUUCCUAUUCUUUCUUCCAAGCUUCUCCUUCAAAUUUUUUUACUUGAAUCUCCAUUUUCUCAACUUUGUUUUGCCGCUUGAGAACUUGCUCCCACAAAGCUUCAUUCUCGGUUUCCAACCUAUUUACUCUUCUUAAAAGACCAAGUAUGACUUGUUUGGAAUGCUCACACAUUUCAUCUUCAUACCAAUCUGAAUAACCACAGCCAUCAACCUACAAAAAAAUUAUAAGAGUUCUUUCAGGUAAUAGAUGCCCAAAUAUUUACACAUUAACCUAAUCAUCUUGUAAGUCCCGGUGCAACCCAAUGAGUACAAACAAAUUCACAAUGAUGCACAAAAAUAUAUCAAAUUUAAGCACAAUAAAGAAAACUUAAUUAAAGAGAAAAGAUAAGAAAUGCAAACCAAAUAUCAAACCAAUAGCCUCUUCAAUUGAUGGCGAUGCUAACCAAGAUGUACAAGUGAAGGCUCACUCCUUCCUCACCCCAAACACACUUUGGUUGAGCCAAGGAGUUUUACAACUAUUCUAAUUAACCCUCAACAACCUACACUUGAAAGAUCACUCACCCAAUUAAGAACUAUUUUAUACAAAUGAGGCAACCUUCACCAAGGUUUUACUACUCCAAGUGAUAAGUUCACCUUCACCAAGGUUUUGCUCCUCCUAGAGAGUAACCUUCACUUGAGCAACCUCACAACCCAACUUUCCCAACCCCUUAUACAACCAACAAAGAAUCUUUCUACUCAAAAAUCUCACUUGUAAGCUUGUAUUUUGUGUUGGCAAAAGUCUUGUGUUUUCUUGUGCUUUGGGGUAUUUAUAGAAGAUGAGAAAUGGCUCCAAAAGUCUCUCCAACGGUCAAAUAUUAAAUGCUAUCAAAACUAGCCGUUGGUCUGUCGGACGUCCGAACGCACCUGUCGGACGUCCGAACCCUGCGUCCGAACGUAGGCAGAGAGUCAUCAAAUCUUUGCGAAAUUUCUCGGACGUCCGAUGCGAUCGAUGUGCGUCCGAAGCGUGCGUCCGAUCCUUCCGGACGUCCGAUGCUUCCUCACGAGCGUCCGACAGAGUUUCCUUCUUAAUGUUCUUCAUCCUUUCGGACGUCCGAUAGCGUCCGACAUGAGUGCCCUGUUUUUGCUUCUUCUUUUAUGCCACAAGAAUCUGUUCUAACAAAUUACUCACAUAAAAACAUUAGCCCAAAUCUACAUUUUGGUUUGUUAAUCAUCAAAACCAAGGAUUGAUCGACCAAGGUCAACAAUCUCCCCCUUUUUGAUGAUGACAAACAAAAUGAAGAUUUCUUUUAUCAAAUAAGUCCAAAUAAAGCUCCCCCUUAGAAAGUGCCAACAUACAAAGAAAUUUCAAUAGAUCCUACUCCCCCUUUUGGCAUCAAUAAAAAAAAAACAAACUCCCCCUUUAUUUUUCAAAUCAAGACCAUAUUGAAUAUCAAAAUUUUCAAAUGUACUUACAACCAUAUAGCACUACUUGGAUCAAAUCUUCAUGAUGUACCUAAAUAUGAGAAAUUUCAUUUGGUACCCUUUCUUUAUAGGGUCCUUGGGAGUUAAUACGACAUGAUCUAGCAAUCCACAUGAAUUUCAUGCCUUUUCUCAUAUUUUUCUUUACAUAGCAAUCAUUUUGCAUAUGUCCAAAUUUACAACAAAAGUUACACAUGAUAGAAGUAUUUUGCACAUAGGUGGAUUUAAUGCAACUAAUUUUCUUACUUCUUAUCAUAACAAACUUAUUUGUGCCUUGAAAAGAUUUGCUUUCUUUUGUUUGAGAAAACUUUUGUUUUUCAUUUUGGAGAAACUCGUUCAAGUCAUUAAUUCUUUUCUUUAACACAUUUUGUUCCUCCAACAUUUUUUCAUAAAACUUUGGGUUUGUUUGGAUUCAUUGUUUUUGGGUCUGUUUUUGAAAAACUGUUUUUCACAUUCCAAAUGCUACAGUAAUGUGUAUUUCAAAAACAACUCCAAAAACACUAUAUCCAAACAAUAUAUCAAAAACAACUCCAAAUACAUAUUUAAUAUGUUUAUUUCAAUUUGUAUAUUUCAAUUAUGUAUAGGUAAUAUAUAUUAUAUUAAUUUAUAUUUUAUUUUAUAUAAAAUAUAUUUUUAUAUUUCUAUAAUAUAUUUAUACAAAUAUUAUGUAUUAUAUAAAUUAUAUAUAAUAUAAAUAUGCAAUUAUACAAAUUUAUGAAUAUUAAAUAUUAAAAAUUAUAUAUUUAAUAUAUACAUAAUAUAUAUGUUUAUGUAUAUUUAUAAUAUGCAUUUAUAUUAUGUAUUAUAUAUAAUAUUAUACAUUUAUACAUUUAUAUUAAUUUACAUAAUAUUAAUUAUACAUUUAUACAUGAUAUUAAUACCUUUAUACAUUUAUAUAUAUUAUAUUAAUACACCUAUACAUAAUAUUAAUAUAUAUUUAUAAUAUAUUAAUUUAUACAUUUAUAAUUUAUACACAUUUAUAAUAACAAAAAUUUAUACAUUUAUAAAUACAUUUAUAUUAUGUAUUAUAUAUAAUAUAAAUGCAUUUAUAAAUACAUAAAUGCAUUUCUUUAUAAAUAUAUAUAAAUGUAUUAUAAAUACAUAAAUGUAUAUAAAUAUAUAAAUAUAAACUUUAUAAUUUAUAAUUUAUAAUUUAUACAUUUAUAUAAUAUUCACUUAUAAUUUAUAUAUUUAUAAUAAUAUACAUUUAUAUAUAAAUAUAUAUAAAUAUUUAUUUAUAAAUAUAUGUAAAUAUUUAUUCAUAAAUAUAUGUAAAUAUUCAUUUAUAAAUAUUUAUAAAUAUAUGUAAAUAUUUAUUUAUAAAUAUAUGUAAAUAUUAAUUUAAAAAUAUAUAUAAAUAUUUAUAUAUACAUAUAUAUAAAUAUUCAUUUAUAAAUAUUUAUACAGGUAUUUACAAAAUUAUAUAAAUAUAUUUAUAAAUAAAUAUAAAAAUAUAAAAUUUAUAAUUUAUACAUUUAUAUAAUAUUCAUUUACACAUUUAUAAAAAUAUUUAUAUUAUGUAUUAUAUAUAAUAUAAUACAUUUAUAAUACAUUUACUUAUAUUUAUAUAAAUAUAUAUAUAUAUAUUUAUAAAUAUUUAUAAAUGUAUUAUAAAUGCAUAAAUGUAUAUAAAUAUAAAAAUAUAUAAAUUAUAAAUUAUAAUUCUUACAUUUAUAUGAUAUUCAUUUAUAAUUUAUAUAUUUAUAAAUGUAUUUAUAUUAUGUAUUAUAUAUAAUAUAAUACAUUUAUAUUUAUUUAUAAAUAUAUAAAUUUAUUUAUUUAUAAAUAUAUAAAUUUAUUUAUUUAUAAAUAUUUAUAAAUGUAUUAUAAAUGCAUAAAUGUAUAUAAAUAUAAUAAUAUAAAAAUUGGAAAUUAUAAUUUAUACAUUUAUGUGAUAUUCAUUUAUAAUUUAUACCUUUAUAAUUUAUAUAUUUUUAUAUAAAUAUAUUAAUAUAUUUAUUUAUAAAUAUUUAUAAAUGUAUUAUAAAUGCAUAAAUAUAUAUUGUUAUAAAAAUAUAUAAAUUAUAAAUUAUAAAAAUACUUGAAAAUAUGUUUUAAAAAUACAUCUAAAAAUAAUCCAUAAAACAUAUACAGUAAAAGUUUUUCAUAUAGUUUUUGAAAAACAACCCCAAAAAUAACUAAUCCAAACGGACUUGUAUUUGAAAAACGAAAUGCUACAGUGCUGUUUUUGAAAAACAACCCCAAAAACAGCUAAUCCAAACGGACCCUUUGUUUUCUCUUCUAACUUCCUUUUCAAAUUAUUUUUGCAAUCAAAAACACUUUUUUGAUUUUUUAAAUCAUCAUUUUCCAUUCUCAAACAUUUGUUUUCUUGAAACAGUUUGGAGUUUUCUUCCAACAAAUCAUUUAUUUUUGUUUUCAAAUCUUUAUUUUUAGCAUAGGAUUUUCUCAAACUUUUAUACAUUUUAAUCAUAAGAAUUUUCACAUCAUCAUCUUCAUUAUCUUCAUCACAAGAAGAGUGAUAAGAACUUACCUCAUCUUCUCCAACGGUCAUUAGUGCCAUUUGGGCCAACUCUUCUUUUUCUCUUUUUGAAUUGCAUUCAUCCCAUGUAAUUUUGCAAUCUCCUCUUGAGCAUCUCUUGUUGAAGAUCUUCUUGAAACUUUUGAUGUGAGGAGUUAUAUCAUUGUCCACUUCCAUGAUUUCAUUACCCAUGAAGGAUGGGUUAUCCCCCACUUGAGAUGCUUUAAAAGUUACGCCUCUCUUAUACAUUUUUGCAUUUUCUUCCUCUUGCACUUUGAAUUUCAGCUUUAAUUCAUAAGAGGUUAGGGUAUCCACAAGAGAUUCAAUGGACAUAAAAUUUAAAUCCUUUGCCUCUUCUAUAGCAUUUAUUUUGUUUUCCCAUUCUUUUGGUAAGGCAUUCAAAAUCUUUCUAUUUUUCUCACCCAAAGAAUAUUCUUUUCCAAGCAAUUUAAGAUCUUCAAUAAUGUCACAAAAUCUACUACACAUCUUAUCAACAUUUUCAAGAGGAUGCAUUUUGAAAAAUUCAUAUUGAGAAACAAGCAAAGAUUUCUUUUGUUCUUUAAUAUCUUGGUUACCUUCAUGAAAUACACACAAUUUAUCCCAAAUAUAUUUAGCUGAUUUACAACCUUUAAUCCUACUAGAUUCAUUUACAUCUAAUGCAUUGUACAAUAUACACAUGGCCUUGGCAUUCAAAGAAAGGUAUCUCUUGUCUUUUUCAUUCAAUUCUUGUCUAGUCUUUAAUCUACUCAAAUUGGUGAUAGAGUCAACUAUUCUAGCUUCAUAAGGACCAUCUUCUACCACAUACCACAAUUCAAUAUAAACGGAUUGUAAGAAAAUCAUCAUUCUUUGUUUCCACAUGCUAAAAUGAGAACCAUUAAACAUAGGUGGUCUAUCAAUAGAUUGCCCUUCUAAAAAAGAAACUUUUAUGGUUGCCAUGAUCUUUACUCUAAGCGGUUAAGCUUGAUCAAAAGAGACCAAGCUCUGAUACCAAUUGUAAGAGCCCGGUGCAACCCAAUGAGUACAAACAAAUUCACAAUGAUGCACAAAGAUAUAUCAAAUUUAAGCACAAUAAAGAAAACUUAAUUAAAGAGAAAAGAUAAGAAAUGCAAACCAAAUAUCAAACCAAUAGCCUCUUCAAUUGAUGGCGAUGCUAACCAAGAUGUACAAGUGAAGGCUCACUCCUUCCUCACCCCAAACACACUUUGGUUGAGCCAAGGAGUUUUACAACUAUUCUAAUUAACCCUCAACAACCUACACUUGAAAGAUCACUCACCCAAUUAAGAACUAUUUUAUACAAAUGAGGCAACCUUCACCAAGGUUUUACUACUCCAAGUGAUAAGUUCACCUUCACCAAGGUUUUGCUCCUCCUAGAGAGUAACCUUCACUUGAGCAACCUCACAACCCAACUUUCCCAACCCCUUAUACAACCAACAAAGAAUCUUUCUACUCAAAAAUCUCACUUGUAAGCUUGUAUUUUGUGUUGGCAAAAGUCUUGUGUUUUCUUGUGCUUUGGGGUAUUUAUAGAAGAUGAGAAAUGGCUCCAAAAGUCUCUCCAACGGUCAAAUAUUAAAUGCUAUCAAAACUAGCCGUUGGUCUGUCGGACGUCCGAACGCACCUGUCGGACGUCCGAACCCUGCGUCCGAACGUAGGCAGAGAGUCAUCAAAUCUUUGCGAAAUUUCUCGGACGUCCGAUGCGAUCGAUGUGCGUCCGAAGCGUGCGUCCGAUCCUUCCGGACGUCCGAUGCUUCCUCACGAGCGUCCGACAGAGUUUCCUUCUUGAUGUUCUUCAUCCUUUCGGACGUCCGAUAGCGUCCGACAUGAGUGCCCUGUUUUUGCUUCUUCUUUUAUGCCACAAGAAUCUGUUCUAACAAAUUACUCACAUAAAAACAUUAGCCCAAAUCUACAUUUUGGUUUGUUAAUCAUCAAAACCAAGGAUUGAUCGACCAAGGUCAACACAUCUUCAACUUCCAGUUAAUUAACAAAUUUCCUACAUCUUUACACACUUACCUCGCUAAGAGCACAUUCAACAUAGCUCCUUAUCAGGUUCCUAUUAGUUUAUGAAGUCUUCAAAAUUUGUUUUAGUGCCACAAGAGUAGGCCGGAGUUGUUUCCUUGCGUCUUUCUCUCAUGAAGCUUCAACACAUUCCCAACAAAUUGCAAAUGCUAAUAUUACCGCUCCUACUUCAUAUUUGAAGACAAAUUGACUAGAGAAUAAGGGUUUGGACUUUCUAAUUGAACCUAGGAGUUGUCUAGCACAUUGAAGGGCAAUUUAUGUUGGAGAGCUUCAAGGAUACGGCUAUGGAGACGAAAUUGCCCAUGAAAAAGUUACUCUCCGUCUCUCAUGAUGGCAUUAGUAUAUGAAGUGAUCUAAACAUUACAGAUUUACUAGUUCGGUGGCAUUUUUGGCAUCUAAAAAAUUUCAGUGACCAAAAGUGGUACAUUUCAAUAGUUUAGUGCCAUUUAUGCAAUUUGCUCUUUUUUUAAAUGGCAUUUUCUUGCUACAUUUACCAAAAAGGCAAAAAUCUAAUCUCUUUUCUUAUGCAACAAAAAAAUAAUGAAAUAAAUACCAAGUUUUAAAGACAAUUGGCUAUUUCCUUUCCUCUUUUCAUACCAUCAUGUUGAACUUUAACAAGAAAAUGAUGAAGAUUGUUGAUGAGCAAGUUUUGAGGCAUGGAAAUGACAAGGGAUUCCAGCCCAGUAAGUAUGUUUUUAAUCUUGUACCAAAAUAUUGUAGGGCAAAUACUUUGAAUCAGUAAGGACUCUCACAAUACUUUUGGGGGUAUUUUUGAAAUAUUUUACUAUAGUUGUGUAUAUGAAAAAACUUUUACUAUAGAUAUGUUUUUGUAAUGUUUUUGGAGGGAUUUUUGGAAUAUAUUUUGGGGUAACUUUUCAAAUUAAAAUAUUUUUAUAGUACUUUUUAAAAAUUAACACAACUAUCCCAAGCACCACCACCACCACCUCUUUUCUCUUUCUCCUCCCUCUUCCCCCUCCCUCUUCCCUUCCCCCCACCUAUGUUUUCAGAACCGGACCGGAUAUCGACUCGGCCGAGGUCAGGGGUCAGGGGUCAAUGGGUUCGACCGAGGGUCGAUAGGGGUCGAACCGGAUAACGUCAUAAAUAAAAAUUAUUUAAAAAUUAAAUUAUUGUAUAUAAAAUAUCCAAUAACAUAUUGAUAUUAAUAAAGAUAUAUUCAUAUAUAUUUGAUGUUUCAAAUAUAUUUAACAAAAAAAUACAAAGAAAUUAGAACAAUCAAGUAACAAUUUAUAUUAUUUAAUAAACAUUAACAAGUUUAGAAUUAAAAUUAUGGAUUUAAUUGAAAAAUAACAUCAAAUUUUAGGACAAUAUUUAUAAAAUAUGAAAUAUUUGAGGUAUAUAAAUAAGUUUUCACAAUUUAGGGGGUCAAAACAUAAUAUUAAAAAAGUUUAAACUUUUUUUACAAAAUCUCCUGUUGGACCGGUUUUUCCGGUUUUGUACCGGUCAAACCCGGUUUUUGACCGGAGUUGACCGGGUUUUGAAUCUCCCGGUUCUAAUGAUCAACUCGGACCGGACACUUGGCCGGUUCUCGGUUCAACCGGUCGAAUUGGCCGGUCCGGUCCGAAUUUGAAAACACAGCCCCCCACCCCCCCGCCCUCUCCUCCCCCUCGAUCUAGUCUCCCUCUUCCCCUUCCCUUCCCCCCACCCCUCAGCCCUCCCCUCCCCCUCGAUCUAGUCUCGAGAAGAUCGAGGCCUCUGGUCUCCAGAUUGCAACCAGAAAGUUGUGACCUUCUGGUCGCGAUUAGGUCGUGACCGCAACUAGAGGCCUUGAUCUGGGGGUGGGAGGGAAAGGGAGGGCAGGAGAAAGAGGGAAAGGGAAGAGGGGAGGAGAAAGAGGGAGGGGGUGGCGGUUGCGGUGGUGGUGAUAGGUGAAAAAUGUUGUAGAAUUCUUUUUUAAGUUAUUAUGUAUAUUUAUGAGUUGUUUUUGAUAUAUUGUAUGAAUCAUAUAUUUUUUUUUUGUUUUUUAUUUGUGGAUUACUGUAACAUUGUAUUUAAAAAACUAGUUUUUAAAUACAGGUCUAUCCAAACGGAACCAUUUAAUUCUGCCAAUGAAUUGAUUGAAAUAAGGAUAUGAAUUUUCUUCAUGUUUCUUUCUGUUGUUUCAUUGACUUACUUCAUAUCUAAUCAACUUGUUGUGGAUAGGUGAAAUAUGUGACAUGUAUAUGUUUAGUCCCUUCAUUUUUCUUCUCUGCUUGUUACAAUUGUCCUCUGGAUCGCUUAAUAUGUUCGAAGUUGAUGGUCAUUUUUGUAUCUUUUCUGUUAUUCGUAAAUAUUUAGGCACAUUACAGCAGUAGAUUGUGGCUGCAACUUAUUGGAUUUGGAUGUCUGGAUGUACUGUAAAGAGGGAGAUAACCAUGAAAAAGUACUACAAUUUUCCAGCGAAGCCGCUAACGCUGUAAAGUGCAAGAUUUUGAUAAUGUAGUGUAGCAAUUGAUCAGAAUGAAUAAGAGGGCGAAAAGAGACAGACAUAGCUAGCUCGUGACUCUUCCUAUUUUUGCGCUAAAACCUCUUGAAGUGGUUUGAGACACACUGGAAAUUGGAAGUUCCAGUGAAGGAUAAAAUGCAAACUCUUAAAUGGAAGGUAAACGUUCUCCAAGCCUUCUUCAUCCACAAAAGGAAGCGGCACAUUGAUGACAAGAAUUUGCAACUUCUCCUAUGUCAUAUAGGUAGUGUGGCCUAUGAUGCAACUCAGAACUUCAUUCUGUCUAAAGGAAAAUGUUGGACCUUAAAAGAAAAGUUGUGCCUUAAAAUUUCAGAUGUUAUAGAGAAGCUGGAUGUGAUAAAACCCUGGAUGUGAUAAAACCCCACACCCGACAAGUUUAUGCUAUAGUAUCCGACUCAACAAUAUCCACUUGUUAUGAAGUUGAUGAAGUGAUGGAGCUUAUUCAAGUGUUUCUGGAGCAUAUGAAGAAUUAUUUCAGCCAGAGGGCUCAUUCAAUUCUUCCUCUGAUUAAAGAAAUGCGAGCCCUUGAGGAGAAUUUGAGGUAUAUAAGAAUUUUCCUUCAACUUGCUAGGACCCGGUGCAAUAAACAUGGGAUAUUGAAUGGUCUCCUGACACAUUCUGAGGCUGUGACUGACAGUGCAGCAUGUCUCUUGUACUUGUGUUGUGAAGAAAGCGAGAUGAAGGAUGACAUUUCUUGUCUAAUACAAAAGAUUAAGCCUUUUCAGCCAAAUGUGAGAGAGAUUUAUAUCAACGCCCUCAAAGCUUCAGAAUCAUCACUACGAGAUAUCAUUUCAGCAGAUGAACCUGUUCUUCACUUUCUUUAUACUCUUCUUGGCCAUAUGAUAGAGUUAUCAAAAGUGACGGCAAGUUUCAAGAGAUCUGUAAUGGAUCAAUUAAAAGCUUUGCACGAGAACCUACAGGUUACUAGAUGUUAUCUCUUUCAUCCAUCGGCUUUGCAGUACACUCAGAAGACUAAGAAAGCGAGUCAUCUACUUUUGCACAUCAAAGUAGUGCUCAGCCGUGCAGCAUAUGCUAUUUAUACAUUUUAUGGCAGUGAUAUUACUGAAGAAAUGGCUAGGGAACUGAAUCUUAAAAUUGCUGAUUUGCUUCUAGAGAUAGACGUUGUCAAGAUAAAAUCGAGAUACGUCUAUUUUAAUAUAAUUCCAAAAUCACUGAGGUCCAAUUUCCCCAAAACUGAUCAACUAGGCUUCAUGGAUUUGUGAUCAAAAAUCUUCAAGAGCUGCUAAGUUCAAAAGCUGAUUCAAUUCUUCAGCUGCAGUAUCAAAUGGAGAUGGUCCUUUUAUGUAUAUUAUCUCUCAGAGAAGAAUUUUUUGAAAUUUGGGAUCUUUUCCGAGAACAGGAGGAACAGAGGGACCCUUGGAUACGUUUCAAAGGCAUUGUGCACCAGACUUUCAAAGGCAUUGUUAUAGAUUCAUUUAUCGCCAGAAGUGGUCAUCUUUGGGAAUAGAAAAUGGGGCUGUUUGAUGUCCUGCAACAUAUUAAGAUUAUCAGCAGAAAGGUGAAUGCUAUUAAAAUCAAGAGAACUACCAACGCUCAAGUCCUCAAAUUUCCAAUGAACCUUGGUGGUUUUUCUUCUCUGGCUAGUUCAGGAAAUUUUGUUGGAUUGCGAGGUCCCAACCAUGAAGCUGGAAAUGAAACAUAGAAGCCCACUGGUCAUGUGGAGUAUUUUGUUCAUGAAGUGAAAAAGAUUGCGGAGCAACUCACUAAUGGUUUCACAGGUUGGUGCAUACUUUCGAUUAUGGGAAUGCCUGGCAUUGGUAAAACAACACUAGGCAAUUCAAUAUAUGAAAAUCCUUUGGUUCCCUUAUGCUUUCAUGCUCAUGCAAGGUGUCACGUCAGUCAUGCAUAUGAAAAGAGAAGACUGUUGCUUGAAAUUUUACAGCUAGUUUGUGGGGAAACUGACCAAGUAUGGAAAAUGGAGGAUGAAGAUUUAGCUCUAAAGUUGUAUCUAAGUCUCAAGGGCAAGAAGUAUUUCAUCUUCUUGGAUGAUUUGUGGGAUAUUAAACCAUGGAAUGAUAUAAAAGCCUCUUUCCCAGAUGAUGAGAGAGGUAGUAGAAUUAUGUUCACAAGCAGAUAUCAACAUAUUGCUUUGGAAACUGGAUGCAUGAGUGUGACUUACCCUUUCAAUCCAAUAUCAGAAUCUAGGACCUGGGAAUUGCUGCAAGUCAAGCUAUUUGGAAAAGAAAGAUGCCCUAAAGAACUUCUCGAAGUUGGACAGAAAGUUGCAGCAGAAUGCUGAGGUCUAACUCCUGCUGUGGAUCUGACAACUAUGAUGGCAAGAAACACAACACUUUGGGGGACAAAUUGCCAAUAGUUUAAAUGCACACCUUCUUGAACAUCAAGACAGACGGUGUAUGCACAUACUGGAACUUAGUUACAACCAGUUACCAGACCAUCUGAAACUGUGCUUUCUCUAUUUUGGAGCAUUCCUUUUGAUCCAGUUAUGGAUUGCAGAAGGAUUUGUUCAACUGCAAAAAGAUGAUGAAGGAAGUUCAGAGGAUGUAGCUUGAAAUUACUUGAAUGAUCUAAUUGCCAGAAGCCUUGUAAUAGAUUCCAAAAGAGGAUCCUUCAAUGGAGGAAAGCCAGCCAUGUUCAUGAUCUACUACAUGAUUUUGCGCUGGCAAAGGCUAAAGAAGAGUGUUUCUUGCAGCAGCGUACAUGUCUUGAUUCCAAGGAUUCGUCUUCUCAUGCCCAGACAUUGUAUGAGCCAUACCAUCUUUGCAUCUAUUCUUAUUGGGAGUGCUUCAAAGCAUCAAAGCCUUUUGGCCCACGUCUCCGCUCUGUAGUAUCAUCAGCCCUUUUGCAUUCUUGCCCGUUGGAGAACUUCAAACUUCUCAGGGUGCAGGAUCUUUCAGGCAUCCAUGUUGACUUUACUUAUUGCAUAUCCCAGUUGGUUCUUUUAAGAUUCUUAUCCAUUCGCACUUCCUCAACAAGUAUGCCAAGGGAAAUAAGCAACCUGCAGAAGCUGGAAACUCGUUUGGUGAGAGCAUAUAAUAUAACAGAAUGCAAUUGCCUGACACUAUUUGGAACUUGUUGAGAUUGAGGCAUCUCAAAAUAGAUGGGUCUUGCACUUUGCCACUAUAUAAUCAAGAAUUCAUAGAGUAAUUCUUCAGAUUUAAUAGCUUACAGACUCUUUCAACGCCAUGUUUAUUCUUCGAUGAAGGUAUUGAGAAGACAAUGAGAUUCGUAUCCAACCCUCAAAAGCUGAGUAGCAGAUUUCUGGAUUCAAGGGAUCAUACUUCCAAUUGCAAUCGUUUUCCGAUUUUGGACUUCCUCACUCGACUUGAGUCACUCAAAGUGUUCUGCUGUGGCCAAUUACUUCGUUAUCAUUGUGAAUUCUACUUUCCACAAACUGUUAACUGUUAAGAAGUUGAAGCUCUCAAAUUUUCGUUUACCAUGGAGCACAAUUUCAACCAUUGGGAAAUUGCCUAAUCUUGAGGUUCUCAAAUUAUCAGCCAUUUCCUUUCCGGGGAAAAGAUGGGACAUGCAAGAAGAUUUUGUUUUUUAAACUCAAAUUCUUGAAGCUAAAGACUUUGGACAUUGCACAUUGGAAUGCCUCAGACUCGGAGGAUCACCUCCCUUGCCUUGAGAUACUCAAAUUGUGAAUGCCUGCCUCCUUGCUUAGGGGAUAUACCCACACUGCAGAGGAUUGAGUUGCACAAUUGCACUCCUUCUUCUUGCAUUUCAGCCCAGACAGUCAAAGAAAAACAGGAGGAAAUCGGAAAUGAUCAGAUUGUCAUCAUCAGUUGAUAAUCCAGGACAUCAUCGUGUACAUCGGUGUACGUGGGUGUAAACAUUGCAGAAAAUAUCUCCUGUUUCUCUUAACGAGUUCUUCCUGCAAGAGAGUGUUCCGUUUCAUUCUUUUAAUCCACUUUCUUCUUCACUUUAUAAGCAUGAUCCAUUCAGUUAUACUUCAUAACAUUUUGAUCAUUGCCAUCGGGAGCUAAAAUGGAAAAGACCGAUUUGUAUUGCCAUUCAACCAUUCGAAUAAAAAAUGUGAUGAACACUUGGAGCUUACCAGUUACAUGAAUCUGGAUGAUCAGUUGUGGAUCCUUUAAUUGGCUGAUGCAAUUAAGAUGUGCAAAAUGAGUGAACUGGUUGUGUUUUGGGAAACUCUAAAUUUCUCUACUCAACUGCUGGACACCACUAAUGAGUCCACUUUAUUUGGUGGUGUUAGGGCAUCAAGUUCAUUAAGAUAAACCCUCUCCGCUUCUUAAAUCUCAUCCUUCUUCCAUUAUUUUUUUUUUUUAAGUUCAUUAAGAUACUGCAUUCCUUCUAAAUUGAUACAUUGAAAUAUUGGACAUUUUCUUAUUUCCCCACCUAUUAUCUUUCGCGGUUUUGCAUCAGAGUGAGGGGGGCAAAAGUGCAAGAUUAAUGUCAACAAUGGAUUGAAUUUAAAUGGUAAAGGACUCGCAGCUUUCGCAAGAGAUUGAGACUCCAGAGUAUGAGUUGUUUUUUCACCAUAAUCCGAGUUUAGUAGCAUUUAAAUGUCAAAAUGAAUCCUGAGGUUAGUAAGAUUUUCUCCAGAUGUUGUACUAUAGGUUUAAUUUUUUAUCAAGUUUACUUUUCGACUUGUUUAAUAACUGAGUUUAAGUUGGAAAAGGAUGUUUAUGCACAACAGUCCCUUAGCUUCUUUAAAAAUAAUGGGAGCUCUUUCCAAAUAUUGAAAAUGAAAUAUAUUGGAAUUUUUAUAAUCAACUUCAAGGACGAGAAACCAACUACUAGAGUCUGGCCUAGUAGGUAGGGAAAGUCUUUAGAGUUCUCUUGGCUAUCAGGUUCAGGGUUUGAAUAUGUAUUAAUUGCAGAUAGGAAGGAUGUGGGGAGAAGUAGAAGAGUUUUUUUUUUUUUUUUUUUUUAAAAAGGGGGGAAAAAACUUCAAGAACAAGGAAUUAAUAGAGAGUAAGUUUAACAUAUUGGAUGCUGCUACUACUACGUAUGCUAUUUGAGACUUCAAACUAAAACAUGUAAUUUUGGUGAUUAUGGCACCAGACUAAACCCUCAUUCCCCUUUAUUUUAUUUUUUUUUUGUCAAUUUUCAAAUUUGAAAACUUGACUCUGAUUUUAUGCCAGUAAUCACUAAUCGUUAUUGGAUUUUUUUUUUUUUUUGGUAUAGGUGAAACUUUAUUCUAUGAUAAAUAAUGAAAUUACAUUAGCUUCUCAGUUAAGUAGCUAUAUUAUAUGUUAACAAACUGCCUCUCUAUACACUUUUGGCCUUUUUUUUUUGUUCAUUUUUUGCAAAUACAUGUGGCAUAUUAUGGUGAGUACUUUGGGUAUCAACAAAAACUAAGACUAACUCUACCAAUACUUUAGUCUAGCUAAGACUGGUGGUACUAUUGGUACCAAAAUAUCUAUAUUUAUGUUUUUGUAUUCGAACUACCUUAAUGUUCUCUUGUAUGACAUUUGAGUUAAAUUUUUCAAUUUUUUGGGUAAUAUUUUGUCAUUCUUUAUGUCAUUUUAUGAUUUUUUUUUGUUUUAGUUUUGGUAAUUUUUUUAUUUUCUUUUUUUUUGGUUUAUUGUUAAUAUUGACUUGUAAAUGAUCCAUAGCGCUAUUUCAGUUAUGAGACUAUCUUUUAAUAUGAGUACUAAAUUUUUAAUUCACCAUUACUCAAAAGGAUGUUUUAUUUUUUUAUGAUUUUCAUUGAAAUAUAGUAAAAUGUAUCUAACUAUUGGAGAGCAGGGUAGUUUUGGUAUCAAAACAAUUAAGACCAACUUUUGCUUGCACGCCUAACUAACUAAAACUCAUGGCACUUUUAUAUAGUAGAGAGUAAAGAUAGAUAGAUAUAAAUAGAUAUAGAUAGAUGUACUACAGGUUCUUUUGUUAACUUCUACUUCAUCUUUUCAAAUCACUUAUUUUAAGUCGAGAAAAGAUGAUUACACACAAUAGCCCUUUGGUUCUUUCAAAAAUAAUUGUAGCUUUUCUCCAAAUAUUUGAAAAUAAAUUUGAUUGGGUUUUCAUAAUUUAUUGUUGAAAUUAAAUUAAUUGAGAGAUUCCAAGCAUUACAAGGAAGAGCCAGAAAGGAAAGGACUCGAGAGUCGAUCCGAGAAUCUCACGAUCACUUAAUUAAUCUCUAUAUAAACUAAGUUAGGCCUUGGAGACCUUUCAUGAUUUAUUGGCCUAUGGGAGAAAAACAAAAGGUUGAAGCAAUAGAGAAUAGGCCCUAACGUGAUGGACAUUACAAUCUUAUAAACUUUCUGAGACUUGAAAUAAACCCUCCAAUUUUGGAUUUGCGCCCACAAACUAAAGCCAGAUUACCCUUUAAUUUUCAACCAAUCUUUAAAUCCAUGAAUUUUAGAUUUUAAUUUUGGUUAUUUUCAGUCUCAUCACCCCUUGAUGAUUCAUGUUAUAGAAUACAUGUAGUGGACUUGUUGCUGCACUGGAUAUUCUUUCGUAUUUUAAAGUUAAACAAAUAUUACAUUAUUGUCUUUCUGACUUGAGUAAGCUAAAUUAUGUGACAAGAAACAGUCCAUCUAUCCACUUUAGGCCCUUUUUUAAAAAAUAAAAUAAAAUAAAGAAAAGAAAGAUGCAAUUCAUGACAUUUCUUCUUUGUGAACUAUUACCAUUAACUGAUGGUUUAAAAUAAAAAAUAAAAAAUAAAAAAAAAUGAAAUGAAUGGGUGCAAUCUUGACAUUUCUUCUUUGUGAACCAGAACACCAAAUAACUAAUGGUUGAGGCCCUCGAUGAUAGCAUCUUGAUCUUGAUCAUGUGACUCAAUCUGCAAAAGUUUCAUAAGGGUCAACCUAAAGUAACUACUAUCUACAUUGGAAAUGCUCAUUUACAGAUGUUAGCACUCGAGAUAUUGAACAGUUUAUUAUUCUACAAUGGUACAUUCUGGCAAUCAUAUAUUAUUCCAUGGGAAACAGAGCAUUAGAAGGAACCAAUGGGACGCGGGUGUCCAGUUUCUGCAUCCAAGUAGCAAAGGAUAAAGUAGUUCCAUGAUCAAAAUCAAACCCCUAGGAUGAAGCACUCUUGACUCGGAGAAUCUGCACAUUCUGAGAAGAGAGUAAGAAGUAAGACACUUCAUGCACAUUCAAAAGUUCACUAAAAGGAACAAUCCAGACCAAAUAUAUCUCCAUUUCAACCACCACUCUCUCUCACUUAAAAAACACCUCUUCAUCCUCCAAAUCAUCAAGCACUAGUUUCAUCCCAAGAACCAAGAUCAUUCACUAAACAUGAAACCAUAAUCACUAAACAUACUGAAAGAAACAAAGAUCAUUCAAGCUGUUUUCUGGCUUGCAAAGUCACUGCAAAGUAAUUACUACCAAGGCUUCCUUAUCUUUCAAACUGUAUGAAAACAAAACGACUAGCAUGUUAAAAAAUUUAUGACAUACCUAUGCAAUCAAACUAUUAGCCAUUAGCCAAAGCUUCCAAAUUCCAACAUUAUUUUGUUUACUACAACAUGUGAAACAGUAUAUGAUUUUUCACCUUUUAAUGCACAAUAGCCAACUGCCUUCUGUUACUACCACACGAGAAGUUCUGAAGCAGCAAUCUUGGUCCCGAAAAGACAGGCCCGAUAAUCUGCCUCUCAAAUUUGCCAAGGAUGUGCAUUACAAAAAUGCUGAUGAUGUAAACCUAUUACAGGCCUAUAUCUUUAAAAGAUGCUAAACUAAACUAGACAUAAACAAACACAACAGACAAGUACACAGACCGAUGUUGAGGGUCAUUAAGAGUUCUGCAAUCAAUUUUGCCUGUCCAAAACUCAAAUUGAAUGGGGCUCUUUUUUAGGAUGAAACUUAGAAUAUCCAGAAUUACCUUCCACUCUGCCAUUUAUUGUGUAACCACAAUCCAACUCCUUCCAUGUAAAUUCAUCUCUCUCUUGGUCUCUCUGAGUCAGAACAGGUUGUGAUCUGUCAACUAGCCAGUCAUCCAUCGGGUCAAUGUCUUCACUUGCUAAGUCAUUUGCUAUACCUAGGUUGAAAUUUUGAAGUUGUAGAUUAUAAUGCACAAAUACCAUUGCAGCCAGCCUCUCUUGCUCUAUUGGGUUCCUCCCUGUAGUGAGUAACUUCUCAGCCAAGCUCCUCUUCAGAUUAUAUUUUGUGCCACCAGUACAUGUCUGGCUUAAGAUUCGAACAGCAAGUUGCUGCAACUGAGGAUAUCCACUUCCAUACUUGAACCACCAGCUUUCUGAAACAAAUACAUAAAUCAGAAUAACUAAAUUUGAACUAGAUGAUUAAUUAUUAAAGCUGAAGUAUGUAUAAUAUCACCUAGAGAAGACUGCAGAUCGGAACUUCCUUGACCAAAAUUACCCUUUGCCGCACGAUACUCUUCAAUCUGCAAACUUAUCAUAUCUUGGCUACCAGGAUCUUCAACCAAACGUACAAUACAGCACAGAAGGCCGCUGGUAAUUUCUGAAUCUGUAUAGAAAUCAUUAACAUAAAAUAACUUCGGAUUCAAGAAAUACCCUGCGGCAUGGAGAGGGCUAUGUAAACGUCCAUUCCAGAUGUCAUCAAUUGCUUUCCAAAAUGGCAUGUAUGUAGAUUCCUUGUCACUGAGUUCCUCUCUGAUUGUUUCUUUGGCCUGAUCCAUUAUCUCAUAGAUAUUACCCAAUUGUGGGUUAUUAUUCUUUGUUAUCAAGUCUAUAACACGCACAAGUGGUAUGGUCGCCUUAACAACCAAUUCUGCUCCAGUCCAAAACGAGCAAUCAGCCACCAAGUCAGCCACUCUUUUUCCUUCCAUUGAGGAAGCCCAUCUCGAGGUCUUCCAAGCAGACGAAAGAAACAUGUUCUGCAAGUUCUCUUGUUCAGAGACCAAAUUCUCAAGAGUUAAGAAAGGCUCUGCCAACUUGAACUUGGAUUGUCUAACCAAGUACUUGAUGGAAGUGUGACUUCUCAGAAGUUUCAGAACACUUGCAUGGCUAUGCACAAAUCUUGUGAUAGUUUUUGCCUUAUCCAUUGUCUCUUUAACCUUUUUCAUUGUCCCCAUUUUCUCCAACAUAAGUUCUAGACAAUGAGAAGCACAAGCUGUCCAGAAAAGUGUCUUGUAUUUUCCCAUCACCAGUUUGCCAACAGUCUCCAUCCAGGAUGACUUGGAGUUUGCAAUGAUUUGGACUACAUUCUGAACAUCAACUUCCUUGAGGACAUCAUCCAGGAAUUCCAGCAUGCAACUGCCCUCCUCAUCAAACCCAGUAAUGUCUGCAGAUCGAAUGUAAAUUGUACCUUUUGGGCAGGCCACUAGAACAUUCAGAAGUUUCCGACCUGUCAACUCUUCCCACCCAUCCAACAAGAUGCUACACCCUGUCUUCAUCCACGAACUCUUAAUCUCUCUCACAUACUGUUGCAUCUCUUCCACUGAUUCCUGCAGGAUCCACCCUCUUAAAUCCUCAGAGCUAGGAAUCGGGUAUGCUGUAUGUUCAGAACCAAACUUCGCAUUCAUCAUUUUCUGAAAGCUAGGACAUCUUGCAGCAUCCAAGUCAAUUCCUGUUUCAUAGAAGAAUCUACCUAUCAGCUUCUGAAAUUCCCUUGAAGAGGAACAUUGGUUACUUGCAGCUGAUUGAGAACCAAGUGUCAUCUUGGCACCAGAGACUGACAGAGAUCCAUGGUUUUCAGAUGGUGCAGCAAUCUUCCGCCGUUUUUCACUUCCCAUGCCAGAAGUUUUUGUACGCCCUGGUUGAUAGGGCUCUGCAGAAUUUGGACGAGGCAAUGAGUUUCUCCUUGAAGGGAGGUUAGGGGAACAAAGUUCCCCAACUUCCCUACUGACAUUUCCUGUAUUCUUUUCAAGUAACUCAUCUCGAAAUACUUCCAUCACAUUGUUAGGAACUUGCACACAAGGAACCACAUUACCCCGGAUUCCUCCUAAGUGGUACUUAAGGCGACUAAACCCACUGACAACCUUUCCACAAUAAUUGCACCUGAUUCGCGUCUUCUUCUCAUCAAGAGCUGUCCCAUGGUCUUGAAUUUUAACCCAAAGAUCCUUUGAAGCCAUAACCGUAAUUUUAUUAGACCCAAUAUGGCGCACACAAGUUCUCCAAUCAGCACGGAUCUAAGGAAGCGUUAAAAGAUGAGCUGCAUCAAAGCAUGAAGGAAACAUACAAUAAGCAUCAUUACUAGGAAACUGGUUAAUGCCAUUAGAGUUGCUUCUGGAAUGUCCUCCAACGGACUAACAGUUUAAUAUAGCUCUCACCCCCAUCACACAUGCUACACUAGGCAAAAAUCUUAAAAUUCAAAAUGUGUAUACUUGGUAAAUGGAAAAAGGGCAUGUUGAAAGCACAACAGAGGAGAAAAUUUCACAUGUAGACCAAUCUGGUUCUGCGAUUCAUUGAUGAGAGAUUGUUGCUGAUGAAUUAGGAUUUGUUAAGCAGUAGAAUAUCAAAUUGAUUUUCUUUUCAACAAAGAAAAAGAACUUGAGCCCAAACCAUAAGAAUACAAGGAAUUUUUUAAACAACUUUUGUUGUCCAAAUGGUAAUUAGGACAACACUAUCUCUCUCCAAAUUUUCCAAGGACAACAUGAUAAUUGUUAAAACCAAAAACCAUGCAUAUAAAACAUUCAAGGAAGGGGAAAAAGGAAGGAUGAGAAAAAAAUGACAACCUAAAGCCACUGAAGCGGUGCGACCACAACUCAUGAAAGCAGAAAUACAGAUAAUCCACUCUCUCUCUCUCUUCCCCCCCCCCCUCCCUUUCCCUUUUUUCAAGAUAACAGUCCAAAAAUAGGAGAUUUUUUCUGGGAUAUCAUCAGAAAAAGAUUUUCAAAAUGUGGAAGGGAAAAGUUGCACCAGAUUGUAAUGUCAUUGACACCAAAAGCAACAGGGAAACUGAAGCAAGCAAGGAAGUGCAGAUAGGCAAUUCAAUCCACGAGAAGGAAAUAAGAUGCGGAGAAAGGAUGGACUUUACCUGGUGGGUUGGCACGAGGGAUGUAAGUCAAAUAUUGAGCAGAUAUAUUUCUUUUGCAGGACAACAACUACAGUAAAGAAUAAAGGCAAAGACAUCUACAAGUGAUUGAAGAGGGAGGACUCUUAAUCAUACAGCUUUUUUUCUUCCAGAGCCACUCCAAAAGUUUUCAACCUUGAAAGGAAAAAAGACUGCAGCUAGCUCCGUAGCAAGCACUUGUAAAGUUGAGAUGACACUUCCAAAUAAUGACAAUGACAGAUGAGGAUGGAAAUGGACAAUUCUGAAUAAGAUUUAUGUCAAACUAUAUCCCACUAUUCCCACCGACCCACCGACCCACCGAUCAACCAGCAAGGCCCUGUUUGGUUCCAGCAAUCCAGUGGGGAAAGGAAAUCGAGCAAAACUGCAUGAUAUUGGUUACCAAAAGAAAAUUGAUUGGCAAUGGGAAAAAGGAUUUCCAAUAGGUACUACUCCUUGGCUUGGAUUGUAAAUCUUGUGAAAGAAAUGAAAAUAGAAAGUAGCAAAUAAGAAAGAAAUUUCAUCAUCUAGUAAAGAUAAUCCAUCUACUGGAAAAAAUUAAACUCAAACAGUUGACAGUUUCAACUCUUAAACAAACACAAACAGUUGGACCACUUUUCCAUAAGUUCUAAUUUCAAAUUAAUAAUUUUUUGGUUGCUUCACUUCCCUCACCAACCAAACUCCAUCCUGUGCCCGAAAAAAGAGGUUAAACAACAAAAUAAAAUAAAAUGCAUCCAAGUGAAGAAUUACAAAAGACCCAGAAACCUAUGGAAAAAACAAUGUAGCUAAAUAAUAAUAUGCUCCUGAUCUUUAUAUCAAGGGCAGUAGUUGAUUAUGGGAUCUGGUCUACUAAAUGCAAAAGUCAAGAACAGCUGCUUAUGGAAGUCAAGGACAACAGCUAAUUAUGGGAUCUGGUCUGCUAGCAAAAGUAAAAGUCAAGAACAGCUGCUUAUGGAAGUCAUGGGCAACAACUGAUUAUGGGAUCUGAUCUGCUAGCAAAAGACAAGAACAGCUGCUUAUGGGAUCUAGUCUACUAAUUGCACUAAUCAAGGAGAGCUGAUUAUGGUCUACUAUAUUAGAUGUAUAUUAGCAUAUCUGUAAUUAAUACAUUAGGGAGAUAGAUAUUCUGACGGAGGAGAGAAGGUACAGAGUUUUUCUAUUUAAAUGGAAAAGAUGCACAAAAGAUGUAUUCAGUCUUUGAUCUAGAAAACUUGUCAUGGUAUCAGAGCCAGUUAUUUGAAUUUCUCAGCCUUUCCAAACUUUCUGAGUUGUUAUUCUUCUUGGGUUGAUUAUUUUGAUCAAUCAUUUGGUUUCAAGAUAUCCUUUUGGGUCAAUCAUAUUGUGGUUGGCAGCUUUUCUUGUAAUUCAGAUCUUUGUUUUUUUCUUGAAAGAAUGUCUAUGGAAAACUCUUUGGGAAAAAUACAUACGGAAUCUUUGUCCAUCAAGUUCACUGGAAAAAAUUAUGCGGCAUGGGAAUUUCAAUUUAGGAUGUUUCUAAAAGGCAAAGAGCUUUGGAGUCAUAUUGACGGGUCUUCUACAGCACCUAGAGAUGGAAAGGAAAUUAGUCAAUGGGAGGCAAAGGAUGCUAGAAUUAUUUCUUGGAUUCUAGCAUCUAUUGAAGCUCAUAUGGUGAACAAUUUACGCUCCUUUAAUACAGCAAAGGAGAUGUGGGAUCAUUUGAAGCGUGUAUAUCAUCAAGAUAAUACAGCAAGAAGAUUUCAGCUUGAAUUGGAAAUUAGUACAUGUAGCCAAGGUAAUCUCUCUAUUGAGCAGUAUUAUUCUGGAUUUCUUAAUUUAUGGAGUGAAUACUCUGGUAUAAUCUAUUCUAAGGUACCAAGCGAAGCCUUAGCCGGUAUUCAAGCGGUUCACGAAGAUAGUAAGCGUGACCAGUUUCUAAUGAAACUGAGGCCUCUUAGGUGAGCUUGGGUUUCCCCAACUUGCACCUACUCCCCUUCAUGCCGAUAAUACUAGCGCUAUUCACAUUGCUGCUAAUCCUGUAUUCCAUGAGCGUACAAAACAUAUUGAAGUUGAUUGUCACUCUAUCCGUGAAGCAUAUGAUGAUCAUGUUAUUUCUCUUCCUCAUAUUACCACUGAUCUCCAAACUGCUGAUAUAUUUACUAAAGCUCUCUCCCGUCAUAGACACAAUUUUUUGGUUGACAAAUUGAAGCUUGUUGGUCAACCAGCAUCAAUUUGAGGGGGGAUAUCAAGGGCAGUAGUUGAUUAUGGGAUCUGGUCUACUAAAUGCAAAAGUCAAGAACAGCUGCUUAUGGAAGUCAAGGACAACAGCUAAUUAUGGGAUCUGGUCUGCUAGCAAAAGUAAAAGUCAAGAACAGCUGCUUAUGGAAGUCAUGGGCAACAACUGAUUAUGGGAUCUGAUCUGCUAGCAAAAGACAAGAACAGCUGCUUAUGGGAUCUAGUCUACUAAUUGCACUAAUCAAGGAGAGCUGAUUAUGGUCUACUAUAUUAGAUGUAUAUUAGCAUAUCUGUAAUUAAUACAUUAGGGAGAUAGAUAUUCUGACGGAGGAGAGAAGGUACAGAGUUUUUCUAUUUAAAUGGAAAAGAUGCACAAAAGAUGUAUUCAGUCUUUGAUCUAGAAAACUUGUCACUUUAUAGUGGUAAUCAACAAGACACUAUUCUCCAUAUUAUAAUGUCAAAAGCCCAUUUCCAUUGACUUUGUUCUGGACUGGGCAGUACAAUUCCUGUAACACAAUCCUCCUUCCACAAAAUUUCAUCCAAUUCAAGAAGGGUGCAUUCACGAUGAGAAGCACUAGGCUGUGCUCAUUUGAUUUCAAACCAAUUAUCAUAAGGAUUUACUUAGAGAACAAAAAAAAAUAAAGUUUCUUUUGAUAAUACAUUGAGGUGAAGUUUAUAAAGCAAGGCCUCUUGUUACUAAAGAGACAAAACCAAAAGUUCUUUGGCCACAAUAGUAAUGAUUGGGUGACCAUGAUUUUUUGGUGCUACAAUUACAUUUCCAUCAGAUUUGUUAAUGCAAAUACUGUGCCAGCUAAGAACACUAGACUCAGGCAUUACAGUAAGGAAAGAUAAGCAUGUGAAUAUUCACAUCAAAAAGCACUAUAUAAACCUCAUACCAUUUUAGCGAUAGCAAACACAUCGUUACUAAUUAAAAAAAUAUUGUUGAUUUUUUGGGGCAUAAACUAAGAAACAUCACCUUAGUGUUGCAAAAAAAAAGCUUAUAAAAGACUUGUAUUGAAGCUGAAGAUAAGCUUGUGUUAUUCAUUCAUCAACUCACUAUUUAUAGUGAUUACAUGAAACAAACUAGCAAAAUAUCCAGUUAACAAUUAUCCUAUAAGUCUCAAGAAAAUAUAAUCUUCUUCUACUAGCAAAUCUUAGCAAAAAUAUUUGUUAACAAACCAACAUGAUAUUUGGUUAACAAAUAUCCUUAUUCUUCCAAUAACUAAAUUAUUUUGAUACCAAACAUAAUCUAACAAAAUCUGUAGGAAAAGUUGGCAUAUCUCAACAAAUAUCCAUGACAACCAGCUUAUAAUUAAACACAUCCUUACUAAUUAAACAAAAUCCAUCACAACCAGCUUAUAAUUCAAUAAACGCAAGAACAGAAAAUCCAAAAGGCACAGACUGGAACGCAUACCAGCUUGUUAUUCAAGAAAUGCCAGAACAGAAAUCCAAAAGGCACAGACUGGACCAUAUAUGCAUACAUACAAACGCACAUAUAUAUAACUCAUCAAGCAUGGGGAACACAACCCAGCUGCAAAGUAGCUAAAUCUUUAGCUAGACACUAUAUAUCAAAUCUCCUGAAAAUAACAAUAAUAAAAAAUAAAGAUACAUGAAAGGUACUAGACAUCAACAAGGUUAUCAAUCCACGCCACAUGAUACCUAUGGCUCCAACAUGCUGUUGCACAAUUUCAAUUUUGUGCAAGACAUCCAGAGGCACUAGUUCUAAAGGAGCAUGAUGUGGGUCCUCCCAUAGCACCAAUGUCUUAUCUGGAAACAAACAAUUAACCAUUAUCAACUUUCCUCAUUCACAGCAGUAUGUAUACCUGCCCAAUUGUAUGCAGGUUGAUCAAAUCUCAUAAAUGAAGAAAAAAGUAUUUACAGGCUUCAUUUUGAUUUCAAAAGAUACAUAAACACAAUUUACACAAGGACAUUGUCGCUUCUAAACAAUCAUACUGAUGCCAUUAGCCAAAGAGAAUAGGAAUAUCAUAGGACACGAUAAGUCGCAGAAUCACUAUGGCUUACCAUAUCUCCAAAAGAAGACUUGAGAACUUCAAGAUUCAUAGUGUCAAUGGUAUUUACAAGUACAUCAUAUGAGAUCAAACAAUAUAAUCCAGGAUUCAGCACUGAUCAAGAUUGAAGACCAUGCUUAGAAAUAAGUGGGGACUGUGAUCACAUACUCAGCAUAAGAACACUAGAAACUGUCAAACAGAUUCAGCAAUGAAACAUCACCAUAAAGCUGAGAAAAUGAACACAAAGCAUCUUUUGUUCAGUCAAUGCAACUAUUUACAAGACCCACAAACAUGAAUAAAAGGACUCAGAAUUCCUAAUCAGUAUCUGAAACUAAAAACUUCAUUAUGUCAAUACCCAUAGGGAGGAAAAACCAUCAGAGAGAAAUUUAAGAAAAAUAAAUGAUUGUCAAGUCUCGGAAACAAUCCUAAAGGGGAAAAAAUCAUCUUGAAUUGUGCCUGGAACUCCAGGAAUAAUUGGAAAAGUCAUGCAUUUUUAAACACGUUAAUAUCAGGUUUAUGAGUUGAACUAGGUCUCUAGGAUUAUAACAAGGAAUGACCUUGAACUGGAUAAGAAGUAUUCUAUUUAAAUAUUACAGGUACAGAUAAGAACAUUCAUGAGUUAUCAGUGUUUGAAAAAGGUAAGAAAUUGAAAGAAGACUCCUUUCAAGAUUAAUCAAUCAAUUGACUCCAAAAUCCUCAUGAAUAAGAGUCAGCUUCUUCAAUGCAGAAUGAUCAGAGAUUACUCAACAGACCUAAAAGCUACAAGGAAAAGGCAGCACGUGCUUCAUUCAAUUCAAUCAACUCAGUUAUUUUAGACAGCAGAGUACCAGUUAUUAAUAGCUCUAGCAACAUUUUGGGUUCCCAAACAACACGGAGCAACAAGGACAGUAGUUCACGGAAUUGAACAAAUAUAAAUGGUUACAAAGUCUGAGUUAUAGACAGAGUGGACAACAUUGACAUGCAGUUGAGACAAUGUUAAAUAGGUUCCAGAGUAAAAUGCAAAACACACAAUCAUAGAUACUUUAAAAGAGAUUAUCGAAUUGCAGCUGAACUAAACAUUUUAACCACAUUUUUAGAUCCAAAUCCACUGUUUUAUUAAACAACAUAAAACAGGCAUAGCAUCUUGGACACCAAUAAUUGCUAUAACCAACAAUCAUAAGAAACUGCGAAUAGGGGCAGUUGGACCAAGUUGCUUGCAAGCCGCUGUCAACCAGCUUGAUCAACAGCUCAACUGGACUUAGAGUUGACCAAGCUUGAGUUGAGCUAGAAUGCAGCUUGAGCAUCACUUGAGUUGAGCUCAUAAUUCAUGAAAAGUUUUAUUCUAUCUAUUCUUGAGAAUUCCAUUAUUCCAUAAUAAUCGAGCUCAAUAGGCUUGAACUCAGGCUCAAUAAGCCUUGACUCAUUCUGUAGCUUACUCGAGUUGAGGAGGAGUAAGUUAAUUUUUCCUAUUUUAAUCAAAUCUACCUUGAGUACACAUUUAGUAGCUCGACUUUGAAAAUUCAACUUGAGCACUCCAAUUUUGGUACAGUUGACUCAGCUCGUUAACACCCAUAUGCAAUACUAGCCAUGGUUAGACAUCAGUGCAUUCAGCAACAUCAAACAUCAUAAACACAACCACAAAUAUAUAUACAAAACGUAACCACAUCUUGAAUGUACAAGGUAAAAAUAGAUCAAAAUUUCUGAUAUAGCCUAUACAUCAAAAAACCCAGUACUAAGUUUUUACAUGUUCUACUAAUGGCACAUUUAUGACAUCAGAACAACUAGUUAACACUGGGCCGAUGUUGCCUUUGAUUUGGAUAAAGAAAAUAACUUUCCUCUAAGACUUGUUGUACUUCGUAGAGAAACAGCUUUAGGCUUGACAAUAUGGAAUUCAACAGAUACAUAAAGAACAAAUCACGUAACUGCUUUCAGCAUCUUCAAAUUUAGAAACUAACAGGAAAAAAUAAACAAAAACAAGAAAAAAUAUAGAAAUUGGAAAAGAUACGACAGGAGAAGAAACAUCAAGCCAGAGCAUCACUCCAGUUUCUUGGCUUCCCCAUUUCAUUGAAAAGACAAAAAGAAAACGAAAACUUGAGCUAGUACUUACAAACUAGUAAUUAUCCAAGUUCAAGCAACUAAAUCCAUACUUAACCAAAGUACAUCAAAAUCAUAACUUUUCAGAAACCCUUUCUAGAAUUUAGCAAUUCCAAGAUAAAAAAACUUGACAAAAAGCAGAUGAAGAUCUACCUUCUUGCUUUUCAAGUAGGAAAAAUUGUCUGAUCAGCUUAAAACUGAAGUCUUUUGAUCAUCUAAGUAAACUUAACACAAAACCCUGCAAGAUUUCAACCAAACAUACACAAGUUUAGCACUCUGUAAAGACAACAAUCUUUUUGCUGUUGAUGGAACAACAAAAAUUCAAUCUUUCCGUUUCAUUGACAAAUAAAUGCAAUGUCGGGCUCCAGUGAGAGCAGUAAAGAACAACAGCAUCAAAGGAUAUCCACUAGUAGCAUAUUACCUUGUUUCUUGUUUCCUCUUCUGCUUGGACGAAAAAUCAAGAGCAAAGUCAAGAGAAAGCAGAGAGUUGAAAUUGAAGGAAGAGGGGAUUUUCAGACGAGGGAAAGAAAAGGUUUUUGUUUCGAGAUAAGAAAGUAGGCGCUUAUUUAUGUCCUUGCAGUUUCCACACUUUCUUACAUUUAUGGUAGGUGGAAUUACUAUUUUAGUCUUCAAAGUUUUGGACUAUUUCAAUCUAGUAUUUAAGUUUUGGCUUUUUGGCGAAAUGAGUGCUUUAAGAGUAAGAGUAAAGAUGUUGAGAAAUAAGGAAAGAAGAAUGAUAAAUAAGUGAAUAAUCAAAUCACGUAAUCUGAGAUUUUAUUUAAUCAAGCACUUAAGUUUUGGCUUUUCGGGGAAAUAAAUACUUUAAAAGCAAAGAUGUUGAGAAAUAAGGAAAGGAGCAUGAUAAAUAAGUGAAUAAUCAAAUCACGUAAUCUAAGAUUUUAUUUAACCAAAAAAGUAAGAAAAGAUCUAGCAUCCUUCGAAAAUUAAAAUGAUACAGAAUUUUAUUUGUUUUAACCUUAAUAAAAUUUAUAAAAUGUUUAUUAAGGUUAAAAGGAAUACAAUUCUAUGUCAUCCAUAACCAAAUAAUGUACAUGUCAAACAUUAAAAUGUAUAGGGAAAAAGCAUCCCAUAGAACAAAAUUUACCAAAAAGCUAAACACAUUUCAUUGGAAAAAGAUUAAUUGUGAGUACUUUGAUUUAUUACUAUACACCGAUGCAUUUACGUUAUUAUAAUCUAAAGAAUAUUUUGCAUUGUCAUCUGUAUUAAUUUUUCUUCAGAGACUAUAGAGAUUCCAAAAUUACAUCAUGUACAAAUGCUUGAAUUAUGGAUCUUUUCGCUGAUACACUUGUAUUUAAAAAUAUUUUAAACAAUAAGGUCAAUUAUUGAUAUCUAAUCUUUUUUAAUUGAAAUUCUAUACAAUCUGCAUUAUUUGUAGCUAUAAUUUGCUAUUCUAUAUUUUUUAUUGUGAUUAGAGAACUAUUAGUGUAUGCUUCAAAGUGUGGUCUUUAUUGACACGAGAAACAUCGAUUGCUCAAUAAUGGUUAUUAUAUAUCUUUUUGUUUUAUAAAAAUUAAAAAAUAAACGAAGUGUUCUGGUAUCCAACGAUGGUUUGAUUGUAUUCAACAAAAAAAAAAGAAGAUUAAUCAUAAGUACUUUGAUUUUUCUUAUAGUGAUCAUUUUUUUAACCCUUCCACGUUCUUCUCACCUUCUACUAUCUAAACACUAAGGUUUCAUUUGAUAAAACUGAAUCUGAAUUUUGAAAUCUGAAUACUGAAACAAUUAAUUUACUGAAUUUUAAGCACUAAAAAGAUAUAUAUAUGAAUGUCUGAAUUUUUAUACUAAAUCUAUUUAUACUGUUUGAUAAAUAUUUAUAACUGAAUGCUUAAUAAGUUUAAAUUGAUAAUUUUGCCCUCAUUUUUUUUCAUUCAAAAAAGAAAUAGAACCUAUGAUUUAAUUAGUUUAAAAUUGUUAAGUAUGAAAAUAACAAUAUUUAUUUUUAAAUCAAAUUAAUAUAAAAGAUGAAAUAUAUUUUAUGAAGAGUAUGGAGAACAAAUGAAAGUCAUUAAAAAGUAAGAAAAGGUAAACAGAAAACCAUUAAAUAGAAAAUAUCAUAUUGUUUAAUUAGAUAAGAAUUUUGAAUAUAAUUAACAAACAAUGGUAGAUUUGAUAGAUAAGAUAAGAUAGUUGAAGUAAUUUUAUUGAUUCUUAUCAGAAUUAAGCAUUCAAUUAAGAUUUUUGUACUAAAAAAAAUACACACAAGUUUAGCACUGCUUAACAAGUUCAGUAGAUGAAUUUUUAUUUAUCAAACAUUCAAAACAUCUGAAUGUCUGAAAAAAAUCAGAUUCAGCACUUUUUUACUAGUGUAAAUACCUGUGCUACGCACGGUGCUAAUAUUAUUGAAAAAAAUAAAAAUAAAGGGGUGAAUUAAAAAAGGUUAAAAAAUUGUACCAACACAAUCAAUAGUUUUUAUAUUUGUUUUAAAUGUAAUGAUGUGAUACAUUGUAUGAGAAUUGUUAACCAAACAAAUACAAUAGUUAAAGAAGAAAUAGCAUCAAUGGUCAGAUAUACAAUUGUAUUAUAAUCAAAUGAAAAUUAAGUACCAAUAGAAUUGUUGUUAACACCCAUAAUUAAUACAGUAAUUCCUAUAUUAAUAUAUUUUGGUACAUGUAGUAAUUUGAAAUACAUGGCUAAACCACCAACAUGCACGUGGCUAGUAGCUUGUUUUCGUAUAUUAUUGUCGGGGUAUAUAUUUUUGAAAAAAUUAAAUUUGAAAGGUUGAAAAAUAAAUUUUGAAGGUUAACUAAUAUAUUUCUUUUAUUCCGUGCGCUGGAAAUGAAUUAGUUAUAUUAGUUACAUGGAAAAAGGUUAAAAUUUCAACAAAAAAAAGUACCAUUUUAGUAUCUAAUCUAUAUUGUAUUUAUAUACCUUUUCUAAACCCUUAACAUAUAUUAAAAAAUUUGAACAAAGCUCAAAUAAAAAAUAUCUAAAGAAAUACUAAAAGAACAGCAAGCAUCAAAUGUUACCCUUCCCUGCCUCUCGUGCAAUACAUAUAGAUGUAAAAAUAUAUUUCAUUAAUUUUUUAUCCGGACAGAAACCAUUCAUUAAUGUUUAUGCUCAGACUUCAAGGACAUAUUCAUAACUAUCGUUGAAAAUAUAUAUUACAUAAGAAUAUACGUUUGAAAGUUUUGAAAAUUAAAUAUUGUAGCCUUGGGUGCAGAAGAUAUAAACACCAGGCAACGAUUUAAUCUUUAACUAAAAUGAAAAAGUUUUAAUUGGUUGUAGUGUUUUAAAGGAGGGGUUGAUGUCUUCAUAAUCUGAGCUGAAGCAUCUUCUCGCUUCUUGAAGUGAUAGGUAAUAAGGAAGAAGUAUGUAUGUAUACUCCUCGUAAAGUUGAACUAUAACUAUAAAUAACAUAGUUAAAUUUGGACGAAAAUGCAUUUAAAAAAUUGCUGAAUUUGUUACAUAUUCUUUUGUUUUCUUCAUAUGCAUUUUAAGAUGCUAAUAUUUCCAAUCAUUGUGUUUGCAACCAUGCGUCAACCGUUUUAAGUUAUAAAAGCUGUCUGUUGCGUCAACCAUGCAUUUUCAUUUUUAAAUGUUUUUCUUACUCUCUCGUUUGUUUUUAUAGUUUCCUUAUUAGAUGAUCAAGAAACGUGGGAGAAAUGUGGGGAAAAUGUAAGCAUGAUUAUAGGAUUUGUAGUAUAUUCAAUAACUUGAUACUCAAAUCACCGAUGAGGUAAAAUUUGUCUAAAUAAGCUUUAUAGUGCCCUAAUUCCUUGCAAAAAAAAUGCUAAAUAGUCCUCAUUGGCAUUGCAAGUUAUGGCAACGUGCCAGUGACAUCUAGGCCUAAUUUUUUUUGGGGUAAAAAUGUAGUACUAAUUGGUUCUACUGUUUCUUGAUCAUGUUGUAUGCUUCUGAAUUAAAAUUGUAUUAAAAUAGCAUGUGAAUGAGCAUUUAUCUUUAAUUAAGGAGUAAAAAUGAUUUAAAGUAUAAAUAGAUGCAAAAGAAUAAAAAGAAUUUAAAGUAUAAAUAUAUUUAACGAUUUAUGAAGUAGAUUAUGGGAAAGUUUUAAAUUUUAAAUCUGACUGGUGAUAAUGUUGGUUAUAACCCACUACUUUUUAUGUAUUAAAAUAAAUACAAAAAUCUAUAACCCACUACUUGUUCUGGGAUUUUUGUUAGGGUUAAAUAUAGUAAAAUUAGCUGCACUUUACCCUAUCAACUUUACAUUUAGUUGCACAUUUGUGAUUUUUUUGAAACGUGAUUGUAAUUUGCAAAGCUCAUUUGUAGGGGUGGUUAUAGGGUUAGUUUAGUGAUAAAUAUUUCUUAAUUAUAAAAAUGUAACAUUAUAUUAAAAUAACAUACGAAUGAGCAUUUGUCUUUAAUUAAAGAGUAAAAAGGAUUUAAAGUAUAAAUAACAAACUAUAUACGGUUUAUGAAGCAAAUAGUAGGAAUGUUUUAAAUUUAAAAUUUGAUUGGUGAUAGGGUUGGUUAUAACCCACUACUUUUUAUGUAUUAAAAUAAAUACAAAAAUCUAGAAAAAAGAAUGAAAAGUUUGCAAGCCAUUGAGAGGGUCUUUGCUAAAAAUCCCUUCUGCAAUACAUAUAGAUAUAGAUAUAGAUGUUAUCAAACAGACCCUAAAUCUGACGGCAGAAAAGAUUCUAAGAGCCUUUCUCUAACCACUGAACCAAUUUCAAUGGUUGUAAGCAUUUUGAUUUAUUAUUAUAUACUGAUGUAUUUAUAUUAUUAUAAUCUCUUUGUUACUAUACGUCGAUGCAUUUACAUUAUUAUAAUCUAAAGAAUAUUUUGUAUUGUAAUAUGUGCUAUUUUUUUUUAAGAGACUAUAGUGAUUCCAAAAUUAUGUCAUGUACAUGUGCUUAAAUUGCUGAUCUUUUCAAUGAUAUACUUGUAUUAUAAUAAUAAUUCAAAUUAUAAAGUCAGCUAUUGAUAUCUAAUCUUUUUUGCUUCAAAUUCUAUACAAGAUGCUUUAUUUGUAACUUUAAUCUUCUAUUCUAUAUUUGUUUAUGUGGUUAGAGAAUUAUUCGCAUAUACUUCAUAAUUAGAUCUUUAUGGAUACAAGAAACAUCAAGGGCUCAAUGAUGGGUUUUACAAGCCCUUUUACUUUAUAAAAAUUAAAAAAAAUAUUAAUGAACUCAUUAACUAUUUCACUUGUUAGUUUUAUGCCAAAAAAAGGCAAGAAGAUUUUUUUUUUCCAUUAAAUGAAUGCAUAGGCGUCAACUAAUAAUUCACCAAAUUUGAGAUUUUCUUUUCAUAUAUAAGGAAGGUAAUUUGAUUGCCAUAAAAAUGCAUUAAUGACCAAAAAUACAUUAAAUAUGCAAUGACUACAAAUAAAUCUGAAAAUCACUAGAUACAACAAAUCUAUGAAAAAUUAAUAAAAAUAUACCUAUAAAGUUUCACAAAAAAUCUUUCCACAUGAGAUGAAUCAAUAUAGGCCAAAUAUGUGCAUGUUUUCAAUUGCUAAAUCUAAUGUGAAACUGCUCCAAAUCCAAAGUGAAAGCUUAGAUAUAAUAGAAUAGGUUUCAAAGCUUCAAGAUAAAAGAAAAGAAAUCCAAGAAAUCUUAGAUCUAACAAGAAAAAUAACAAAAAAAAAAAAAAAACCAACACAAGGCACCAAUUUGGCAAAUUUAAUUAUCAUGUAUUGUAAAAACCAUGAGUAAUGCGCCAAGUGUAUCUACUAAUACAAAUAAAAAAGAAUUAAGCAAUUUUUUUGAAUUAAAAUUCUAAGAAAAGUAAGAAUAGCUGUUUGUUAAUUUUUGCAGAAGUUCGAUGUGAUAUCAAAAAGUAUCUUUUAGAAUUUGAUGCAUCGUUUAUAAUUGUGAAAGUAUGUGAGUUAAUUGUCAUUAAUUUAAAGCUUUGAAUUGACUUAAAUUUAGCUUACCCAGUUGAGCUAAAACCAAAAUGAGUAAAAUAAGAAAAAAUAGUUUUCAAUUAUCUCGUGUAAAAUCUUUUUAUACAUUAUAUGCCAGAAGUAAAAAUCUGGUCUCAAUACCUCAAAACUAACAAAACUCGUUCCACUUCUUCUUUCCACAUCUUAAAUCCCUUUUUUCAUCUGUUGAGAAUUUUUACUGCCAUUUCUUCCUUUGGGGUUGGAGUGGACUGGAGAGGGUUAAGCUAGUGUAUCCAUGUGAAUAGGACUUUCAACAAGGUUGAGCUCAAAAAAAAUUUGCUGAAUCUAAGUUUUAAUUCGUUUGAACAGAGAUUGAGCUUAAAUAUUAGAUCCAAAUUAAAUGUGAGGCGAGUUUAAAUCAUACUAGGCUCAUGUCUGAUUAAAAUUCAGCCCAUAUAUGAGUACAAUUAUAUAUAUAUAAUAUAAUAAUAUUUAUAAUUGAUAAUUAUGCAUAUUACGACGUAAAAUGCUAAUGAUUUAUAUAUAAAUUUGUAUUAAUUCACAUUUUUAACAUAUAUUAUAUAUAAUUAUGUAUUUAAUUAUGAGUUUGAACAAGCCUAAUUUGAGUCCAAACCUCAUAUAAUAGUGUAAGCUGAAGUUGAACCUUUUAAUACGAGCCUAAAACCUAAAAGUCCAAAGCCCAAAAAUCCAUAUAAUUUGUGAGCCAAACUUGGACUUCCUAAUGGCCAGCUCAAAAAACCCAAUUGACACCCUUACAUGUGAAUGGUCAUAAUAGUUUGAACCUCUGGUACAUGUAGGGGGAACAAGUCAUGUACUGCCAUGUAGAAUUUCAAUAAAGGUUCAAGUACAAAGAACAAGGCUGUAAGAUACCUUUAAGGAUGCAAAUUAAACAUUUGCUGAGUAAAAUCUGAAAUUUCUGGAAAAUGUACCAAAUUGCUGGAGUCAAUAGAUCAGGCAAUCUGUAGCAUCACCCAAAAGAUGAAAAUAAAUCAGCAGAUUGCCUGCCUUGAACAAAAUAGCCUGGUAAAUGAAAUUACAAAUCUUCUCGCAUCCAACAAUAAAUGGCCGUACAGGCAACUUAGCAACAUUGUUGCUUCUGGUGAUGGUCAACUUUUACAUACUAUACAAUGUCUGCUUAUGAGCUAUUGCAACUCCAAUGAAGUUCAGGAACAUCAGCAGUUGCAACGCGAGGUUCAGUAGAUACUGGCUGACAUGUCUGCAAGGAAGGAAAUGCAAAAGAUAUAAUUACGUGAAGAAAUUUCAGGCAAGGUAAAAUAAAUAAAUAAAGAAUUGGUGCAGAGAAACAGACGCAACCUGGAAAAGCUUGAAGCUAUUUCUGACCCUUUUUCAACAGGACACCUAUCUUCUUCAACAUAUUGCUGUUCUUCUUCUUGGGUGAGUCAUCAUCCAAGUCUUCAGAAUAAGGUGAGUUCAACUUUCCUCCAAGAGUGUGAUAGUCCAAAGAACCUGUCCUCUCCACAAAUUUACCAUUAUUACCAGUUGAAAGCAUUGUGGCAGCAGCCUCAGCAGCUUUCCUCCACUGGUCUGCCUGCACCUUUAAUCUCCUCAAUUCAGCUUCCAUUUCAGAGUUUGCAGCCUGUGCAGCAUCCAGCUGCUCGGUAACCCUUGCUGUCUUUCUACUACUUUGAUCUGCUUCAUCUGUCAGAUAACUGAGCUUCGAUAGGGCCUCUUGCUCUGUGGCCCUGGCAGCUUCCACUAAAGCAAGAGCUUCAUCAUUCAAUUUACUUCUUUCUAGCUCUCCGUUUUUAAUUUCCAACUUCAGCAUUUCAUUCUCCUCAGCAACACUCUGUAACUCUGUCUCCUUAUCCAUCAGACUUGCUUUCAGGGCUUCCACAAUUGAUUCAGAUUUCUUCAGUUCAGUUCCAAGUUCUUGUUGAAUACACUGGUCUCUCUCUACGCUUCCAUUUAGCCCUUUAUUCUUCUCUGUAGUGUUCUUUAAUUCAGUUUCUUUAUCCAUUAGUCUUUUCUUUAACUCAUCAACAUCAGCUCUUGCAACCUUCAAUCUAGCCUCCAAUUCAGCCUCUCUCUGACAUGAUUCAGACUUUGUCUUCUCAACCAGUUCAUAUGCACUUCUAAUCUGCAAGGUACUUUGAAUGUAUUCCUCUUGAUAUCUUCUUUCAGAUGCAUCUAAUGCAGCUCUCAAAUGACCUACCUCAAGUUUUAUACUAUUGAGCUCAACUUUAAGCUGUUCUGACUUCUCAGCUCCUUCUUUUUCCCUUGCAAUUUCAACAUCACCUGAAGAAGCUGACGAGUCAUUGCUCCUUUUGUUAACAUCACCCUGCAGUCUACUAACAAGUUCCUCCAAAGAAUUGACUUGCAUCUUUGAUUGUUCUAACUUCAAGGCCAAGGACUUGUAAGCCUCCUGAGCUCUGAGACCUUCUGAGUGAAGUAUGUCCUCCGUGGCCUUUGCUUCCUCCAGCUGCAUUUGAGCUUUACUUACUUCUUCCAUUGCCCGAACUUCGGAUUCUUUGCUGUCAUUUAACUGAGCCUUUAUUUCGUCUACUAGCGCAAGAGUUUCUGUAAGUUCCAUUCUUAAGUUCUGAACAUCAGCAUGAGCUGAUUCAGCAUGCCUAGCCUGAGCUGCUUCAGAUUCAGCUACCCUUUCAAGUUGAAUUUUAAGCUUCUGAAUUUCAUUCAUGGCAGAAGCUAGAGCAGCAGAAUCCAUAGAGUGUUGCUUUUGGAUAGCCUCAAGUUCCGACUGCCAUGCCCGAUCUCUAUCCUGUGAGAUCUUGCGCAACUCUUGCACCCGAGUUUCCUCACAAUCCGAUAGCUCCUGCAACUGCUUCUCAGACUCUUCAAGCUUCUCUGACAUGGCUUCAAGUUGCUUUUUAGCCUCCUCAGCCUCCUGCUGGGCCCUUUUCUUCCUUGAUUCAGAUGAGCUUAAUUGGUCUUUUGCCUUCUUCAGUUCCUCUUGGAGCUGGGCAAGCUGAGUUUCCAAAUCACUAACUCUAGUUGUCCGUUUCUUCUGAGGAAGGGGCAGUUUGUUACACAUAGAUUAAAGGUAAAUAAUCCCAUCAGAUGUAUGGUAGACAAAGUACUGGAGGAAAAGCAUCCACCAAGAACAGACAAAGAAACACAAGAAAGCACAAGAUGCCAAAAGAUUUGAAAUGGCACAAAAUUGGCAGAUAUUCGAACACUUAAUUCAAAUACCAUUAAUGCCUUUAGACAGAAAGUUGAUUAAGAAAGGCAAUCAGAUAAAGAAAAGAAAUGCAAAUUGGUUAUAAAUGACAAGCUACAAACAGCAUGCAACUAUCCUUAUAGGAUCUAUCUCUACCAGAUGUAAGGUAAAUAAAAAGGAUAAUACAAUUCACUGUGCCAUGAGGUGGAGAGGGAACUAUCUGACAGCAAUUCAUAUCUAACUGGGACAAGUAAAUUGUUUAAAAUGCUGGCACAGACUUUUUGCACCAACUCUUAAACUAUGCAUCAGCUUUAUUUUGAAUGUGGAUACAGACCACAUAAACUGUGAAAUUUUGAGAGCAAAAACUGAACUUCAAUAUGCAUCAACUAUCUAGAAGUAUCUGAUCAAUCUGCCAAAAUGGUUAAGGUUAAGUACCUCAGUUGCUGGACUUCGAGGAGACCUGCGAUCAACAACUUUAGGACUUCUUUCUUUUGACAUCCUCCCGGCUGAGUUUGAAGUUGAAACUGAGUCUGCCUCUGAUCCAGGAGUUUUGAGCUUCUGAGCUGUCCGAGGAGUGGCUGGAGAUGUUUUCUGAGGCAGUUCUGAAGAACUAGUCCUGUUCUCAGAGUUUAUGAGGUGAAAUUAUCAAAAGCAAGAAAGAAGACAUAUCAUGGACAACUCAGAACAAAAUAAUGUUGAUAAAUGAUAUAUUUCUCAUGAAACAAUUAAAUAAUUUACUGAUACGGUGCACAGCUCUAAAUGCUUGGGCACAUUCAAAGAUGAAAAUUUAGUGAAAGGAUAUAUGCAAAUUUUUAGCUAAUGCUAACUGGGAAUCUGCAGUGAAACAUUAAACAGUACAUUAAUCAUAGUGCAGCUGCAUAAUGCGCUAUCUAUCAAAGACAAUGCAUGUUGCUAUCAACUAAAUACGCAAUGUUUUAAAAAAAAGAAGAAGAGAGUGUAUCAGGUUUAUGCAGCUAGUAGAAAUUAAUAUUGAAGUUUUGGUUGUAUAAGUCCUAGGAUGUAAUUAGUUAUUUGCAGAUCUUAAGGGACAAGAAAACAAAGAUUUUGACAGAUUUGCAGAGGAAGACUAGUAAAGUCAAAGCAGAGUAUGAUAGCCCCAAAACCUUAGUAAUGACAAAGUACCUUCCUUUUGGUGUCUGCAUAUUAAGUAACUCUACAGUACAGUGGAGGAAGAAUAUGGCAAACAAAGGAACUUCUUCAAAGGCCCACCAGACCCAAUGCACCUAUAACAGUUCAGAAGAAAACCUUUGCUCAGAAAGAACUCUCAUACACAUAAAUCUGAAUACAGACAAAUAAAAUUGUUCUUCAAGGAUACCCAACCUUUAGUCCAUAUUCAAGUGUGAGCAAGCAAAGCCAAGAAAUAAACAACCAAACACAAUAAUCCCUUCAAAGAAACUCCAUAGAAACCACCUCCACUACUCCCACCAACCAAACCUCCAACAGAAGAAAAUGACUAAAAAAGUAAAGCGAAAAAAGAAUGGGAUAGAUGGAAGAAAACAACAAAUAUGAUUAUGUUGGCAUCCUUUCACUUCUUUUUUUCUUUUACUUCGUUUUUACUCCUCUGCUUAGACUCUUUAACUAUAGCAUCAUCAUAAUUAAGAAAACGACUCUUCCAACCCACAUUUCUGCAUAAAGUCUUACUAUUAACUAGAGAAACCAAACAUGACUUUCAACAAAAAGAUAAAAUAUUAACAUAACUGAAAAAAAUAAGAGAGAUACUUUUUGUAUUCAUCAUUAACGUUAAGCAAAAUCAAGAUCGAAGAACCCACAUCACUUACAGGGAAAAAUUUGUAAAUAAUGAGAAAAAAAAAACUGCUUUCGCUGGGACAAACAUAGCUUUUCUUCUAACAAGAAAUUGACGUCGCUGAUAGAAACUGUAUAAGAUCAUUUAUUUAAUUUUCUUCCUUCUUUGCUGUAUCAAAUUGCCAGAAAAUAAGGAAAUCAGGAGAAAAUUCUCACUCAACCCAUAAAUCACAUCCUGGAAACAGGACAGAAAACAAUAGCAGGAAAGAUAACAAGAGACAACAGGCAUUGAAACAUAAAAAAUAAAGAAAUAAAGAAAAACCCAUCAAGCAUCAUUGAUAUUUUGCUUUGUCUAGCUAACAAACUAAGAUCUAAAGACAAAAAAAAAAUUCAAUUACCUGCUCUGACUCCAAAAAAAAAAUGGAAAACUACACCACCAAUGCCUCUGUUCUUGCCUUUCACAAGCACCCAGUGAAAAUCCUACUUACGUUUUAAAAUACAACACUUUUAAUGGGACAAAAGAAGUAAUAGAUAUCCUCCAAAACUGGAGAGCUUUGGAGGGAUACAAACAAGCAGCUAGCCUAGCACAUGGAGAAACCAACCCCAUUUACCCCACCCUCAAAAAGACAGAAACCCAAAACCGCAAAACAAGGGAAUGGACAGAAAACUGAAAUAUCAUGAAAAGGAACCCCCAUUGCUCCCACCCAUAUGGAAAACUCACGUUUCCUCCCUGGAACUCAAUCAACUAGCAAGUUUCAACUACAGAAACGGAGCAUUUCCAGUAACUAAACAGGGAAAAUAGAAAAGAGAUUAACAGCUUGAGAACUUACUUGAAAGGCCAAAAAAACAGGACAAAAUGCGGCUUUUUUUUUUCUUUUUUGGGUUCCCCUGAGUUUCAAGAAAGUAGAAACUGCAGAGAUAAGCAAACCCUAUAACGUUAGUGUGUGAGUGUGUGAGAAAACUGAAGGGUGGUGGUGCAGUGCAACUGCUGCUGCUGCUGUGCAAUUCCCAAUGUCACUACUGCUGCAUUUAGUUCACUCCUUGGGCUUCUUUCACUAUCACUGCUCAGUUGUUUUUGUUUUGUUUAUAAUUUUGGCUCAUCCUUUGCACUGUUUAGAUGGAGCUGGGAGAGAGUGAUUUCCCACGCGCUUGAGUCACUCGCCAUAGCACGCUCCAAUCAGAAAUUUACGGAUUUUGUCAGCAAGACAAAAGUACGCUCGUGGAUGUGGUGGCCCAUUCACGGGCCGAUUUCGGAGGCUGGUAAAAAUAAGGGAUUUGGCUGAUACGAUUAAUUAUGCUAGACCUCCCUGAAAGUGAGGGGUAAUUUCAGUUUGCCCCCUCCAUUCCAAAUAUAUAGACAUAUUCGCAUCGUUCUAAUGAUUUUCUUGAUUCAUUUUGUGCUUACACUUAGAUGGUUCAUGAUAAUUUUAAAUCUUAAUUGAUUUUUAUGUAGUUUUCUAUUAGUUUGAGGUCAAUGCGUGUAAAUCCAUUAGGGUAGGAUUUUUUAUUAAAUGUAGAAUUUUAAUUUAAAAAAUUCAUGUUGAUUUCAUAGUUUUUUUUUUUUUAAGGAUUUCAUAGUUUGCUAACACUAGAAACAUUUCAUUUAAUAAAUGUUGCCAUAUGGCAUUAGGGUUGUUUUGGAGAAUUUUGUGAAGGGCUAGGCAUCCUCAAAAUAUUCCAUCAUUUAAUUUUUCCUUUUAAGUCUUUCUCGAUUUUUUAAAUAUUUUGAAGUCGCUAUGACAAGAAAAGAGACUAGUAGGAACAUUUCAUUUAAUAAAUGUUGCCAUAUGGCAUUAAGGUUGUUUUGGAGGAUUUUGUGAAGGGCUAGGCAUCCUCAAAAUAUUCCAUCAUUUAAUUUUUCCUUUUAAGUCUUUCCCAAUUUUUUAAAUAUUUUGAAGUCGCUAUGACAAGAAAAAAGGUUAGGAGGAUUGACUCUUUUCUUAUUAAAAAAAAUCACCGACAAAAUCAUCUUAAUGGUUAAUAACUACGAUGGGGGUGCAAUGAGUGGCAUCAACUUCUAUAGUCUAAUCGCUCUUUAUAAUUUCUCUUCUCUUAUGCAAAUUGAAUUAUUUCCCUCUAAACUCUUAACAGCAAAGGGAUUAUUUCAUCAACUCUCAAAUUUUUAUGAAUUAUUUGAAAUGUGGCCAAGUUAUGAUUCAUAUCAAAGUGAAGUACGUGUUAUUUUAGAUCACAGGAAGCAAGGUGAAACGCACCCUCUUUCAAUUAGGUUUUAGUUUAAUUGACCCUAUCAUUUUUGUUGAUGAGGAGUUUUCAUGGAGAGGUGGCAUUUAUGACUCUGAAGAAAGAGCUUCGGCAGCCUCUUGCGGAAUGGAUCCAUCUCGUUUUGUUUUCUCACUGGUCCCUCCCCCUCUGGUGCUUUCACUAUACUGCUAGAAGUUCAGGUGUGUUGGGACCUGUGAAUCACUAUAACUAGGCCUGUUAACGGGUCGAUGUGUUAGACCCAGAAUCCAUCCAUAUGCCUGAUGGAUCUUGUAAUUAAGAUUCUGAAACUAGAUCCGAUGGGUCUUGGGUGGAGGUAAGAUCUACCAAAAAAAAAAAAAAGAGGACCCAAUAUGUAUCAUUUAUUUAUUUUUUUAUCCAUGUUAGCAAAAAAGUCCAACGCGAUCCCAAGAUAUUUAGCAAAAAGUACUUAUAUGCAACUUGUGAUGAAUAUAUUUCUGGUCAAACAAGCUGUGCCUCUUUCAAAUUCUAAUUUCUUAGAUGCUUCAUUUGGGAUAUGGGUAAUUUGGUAAAAAAAAAAUACUUUUGUUAAUUUAGUAAAAGAAUGUAUUUAGAAAUAUUUAUAUUUUAUAAUUAUUAAUGUAUUGUUCGAGUCGGGUCGGAUAUGGGUCGGAAUCCUAUAUUUCAUAACUGACCCGUUUUUUUGUUAGAGUGAACGGGUACGGGUAUGGAUACCGAAAUUAUUCUUAAUUCAUACCCGAAAAAAAUUAUCGAAUCCGGGUCCAAAUCUGACUCAUUGAUAGUCUUAACCAUAACUACCGAGCAAAUGAACUAAAUAGUCCCUAGACUAUUUUGUGACUAUUUUGUGAAAGACUAAAAGUCGAGUUUGUUAAUGAAUUUUACUUUUAGUCAAUUUAAUUCUUCAACUAUUCUAUUGUAGCCAAUAGGUCUUUUCCAUUCAAAACUAGUCAAAGUGGGAGGAAAAUGGAAAAACCAUCUAAAACUUUUCAUGAAAUUAAUAAAACCAAAAUUAGCCGGGGAAAUUACAAAGAAUUGGAUCAUAUCGAGAGCUAAAUAUUGGAGAUUUUUCAAUAAUUGUUUUGAUAUUCUUGUUAGAGUUUGUUGAAAAUCACCAUAGUUUUUAUAGCAGUUUCUCACGAUUUAAAUUAGUUACGAAAAAAAAAAUUAAAGGACUAAAUUGGUUAAGAAUAAAAUUAAGAGACUACUUUGACCCUAACAAAAGAGUAGAGGGACUAUUUAGGUCAUUUUCUCAGAAGUACCACACCUCUCUUAAGAUUAAAGAGCUGUUAUCUUGAGCUUCAAAACUAAUCAGCGUAGCAUACCUUAGUUUACUUUAAUUGUUCGGUUUAUACAUGUGCUGGAAGUUUGGGAAAUCUGCGUUUGCCUUUGAAAUGGCUAAGAUUUAAGCGAAAGUUAAGAUUGAAGGAGAAUAAGCAAAAAAGAACUUGAUCUCUGUGGCCCAUUUGGUAAGUUGUUAGUAAGGUCCAACAUAAAUUAGCUUUCCAUGCUGUAACAUCCAAUCUUAAGGAGUUUCCCACCAAAUUUGUGAACGGGUAAUUCGUGCUGAAUAAUUUCUAGUAAUCUAGUUAAUAAUACUCCUCUUUACUACUAGGGAAGACACACAUCUAAGUUCAUUAGUUUUUGAAUUUAUUUGUAGGGGAUUCAUUUUGCUUGCCUUUUCAUUUUACAUACAUCAUAUCAUAAAAAUUACCACAGUAUUAUUUCAAAUAAUCUUCUAUCCAAACAGGCGAACUCCAUUUAGUUGUUCACUACUUUGAACACCUGUGGCAAUGGCCACUAAAGUAAGCGAAUCAAAGAACUUUGAGGUAGGAUUGUCAAUGGGGUCGGAAUCAACCCAAACCCCGCACACUCAGCUCGAAGAAAAACUCGAUAAGCCUAGGGUUGGGUUGGAUUUGAGUUUAAAUAUUAGAUUCGAAUUAAAUGUGAGUUGAGUUUGGAUUUUAGUAAGCUCAAACUUGAUAUAGGGCCUAAUUUUUGGCCUAAUUCCUCUUCUGAUGAUCGAGUCAUCCUUGGAUCAAAAAGAUAUACCUCGGUUGUAUUUCAUCUUUUCAAUAAGUUUAGUAAUGAGCAUAACGACCCUAUUGUUCCGAUGGAGAGAAGAACCUAUGAUUAGCUUUUCGGAAAAUUUCCAAACGAACAAUUCCAACGAAAUCUUUCAAUUUCUUAUUUUACUAUGUUCAACUCUACGUAUUUCUCUGUCUGUAGAGUACAUUGAAUGUAUAGAAAUGGCUAUAACAGAGUUUCUCCACCCCUUAAUCUAUAUGUGUGUGUGUGUGUAUAUAUAUCAUAUUCAUAUUUUGGUAUAUAUAAUUAUAUAUCUAAAUCUAUAAUAUUAUUACUUUAUACUUAUGAAUUAUGUAUCAAUAUAUAUAUAUAUAUAUAUAUAUAUGUAUGUUGAUUAUUUUUAUUAUUCAUAUUUUGGUAUAUAUAAUUAUAUAUCUAAAUCUAUAAUAUUAUUACUUUAUACUUAUGAAUUAUGUAUCAAUAUAUAUAUAUAUAUAUAUAUGUAUGUAGUGACUGUUGAUUAUGUUUUAUUAUUAUUUUCACGUACUUUGAACUAUAUUAUUGAAAAAUUCUUGAUUUAUGUACUUUUUAAUAACUAUUACUGGUCCUAUAUAGUUUUAACAUUGUGCAUCUGUCGAUGUUAAAUUAGAUUUAGAACUUAAUAGCUAUAGUAAUUAUAUUAAGAAAAUUAAGAAGCAAUAAGUGAGUUCGGGCUAAACUCGAAUUAGGCUUACAACUCAAUUUUUUGUGAUAUCAAAUCAAUCCAAAACUCCUAAAUCAAAGUCCAAAAGUGAUAUCAACUAUAUGAGCCGAGUUUGAGCUUAUUAAAAUCCAACUCAAAUGAUUCGAUUGACUGGCCUACUUUGGUUUGAGGCUUGAUAAGGAGUUCACUUGUGUAUCACAAGAAACUUAAGUUAAAUCCAUUAUCUAUGUUAUCACCAAUAAUUAACGGUUAAACUACCUAGGCAUUCGGUUGGUAUGUUUAUCAAUUGGAUUUCUUAACCUUGAAUUCUUAAAGGGCACGUCGGAACCUCAUUGAAGUGAUGGUCAAUUAGAACUUGGAAGCUUUGAGCGUGUGGAUGUAUAGGAUGAUGAAUUUUGGGUACAAAGUGUGAUGAUUGCUUUAGCAACAACAUUAGUUUCCUUUCAAAUUCAAUUUUCAUACGCAAGUAUGUACACAGCUAAACCAACAACUUCAGUUUGCUAUAUGCAAACCACAUAUAUUAAACCAAUCUUCAAGAAAUCAACUCUAGGCUUUCUAAACUUCAUUUGUGGGUAAUUAUAAUCCUGCGGUUGCUAUGGUCCUUUUUGUAGAUAAUCAAUUUGGCACACAUACUAUCCUGAUAAUCAUGUAUUUUUGUCUUUACCACGUACUGAUUGGCAAAUCAUUUAAUUUAUCCAAAUGAAUAUUUUUUUUCUGCCUCUAUUGCCACCAUAGAUUUCUUCCAAUUUGGAUAACUCUAUAUGAUUUGUCUUUGAAAUCAAGUAACAAACUUAGGUAAUAAACAAUACUUUAAUGAGAAUAACAAAAAAAAUACUACAGAGAAUAGAUAUCUUGCUAUCAGAAAAUGAGACUUUUGACUCACUUAACAGAGGGAAUAGAUAUUUUAUGAUGAUUUUGUUUAUCAAUAAUAGUAUUAAAUUCCCAAAGAACAAUGAAGCAACUUGUUAUUGUAUUACAUCAACACUUAUAAUUUACUUUUAAUAUGGCAAAGUUUUUAUUAAUAUAAAUUUCACCCAUACAAAAUAAUAUUUUUUUUUCUUUUCCCAAGCAUGUGGAUUGUGGAGGGCCUGGAGGCAACUGUACAUGUUGGGCUUGAGGAACAAUACCCGCAAAGCAUGGCAACAACAGUGGAGUAGGGAUGGCAAUGGGGGCGGGUAAUCGCGGGCACUCGUCCCGCGGGGGCCUAAUGGGGCGGGGGGAAUUUUUUUUCCCCCGCUUAAAAACGGGGCGGGCACCCCCGCCCCAUCCCCUGCCCCGCCACCCACUUUAAAAAAAUAAAUAUAUAAAAUAUAUAUGUAUAUAAUUAUAUAUAUAAUAUAUAAUUUAAUUAGUUACAAACUUAUGAUAAUGAUAUUAUUAGUUAUAUGUAUUAUACAAUGUCUAUUAGUAUAUAUAAUAUAAUUGAUAUUAUUAAUUAUACUAAUAAUUAUAUAUGUGUACUAAUACAAAUUAUUAAUUGGUUAUACUAAAUUUACUAAUACAUUUAUACUAAAUCUCUAAUUACACUUAAUACAAUAACAUUUUUUUCUUAAAAAAAUCACAAGCACAAUAAUGAAUUAGUGAUUGUAUUUGUGCCAAAAGUGAAAACUUGACUACUUUAGUUAUAUUUAUUUCAUCAUGUUGGAUUGUAUUCAAAUAAUUUUUAUUUGAUUGUUUUUAUAAGUUUCAAUUGUAAAAUUACAAUGAAUAAUAAUUUAAUGAUGUGUUGAUAUUUUAGUACUUGAUUAUUUGCUAAAAUUUAACAAUAAUAAAAUUAUAUAACAAAUUUUUAUUAGCCCCGCGAGAAAAGCGGGGCGGGACAGGAGAAGCGGGGGGCGGGGGAUGGGGGAGGGGUCCCCCGCCCCAACCCCAUCCCGUUGCCAUCCCUAUAGUGGAAAGAGUCUUCAGAGGACCAGUGCCUGUAGACUGGGGUUUAAAUUUCUGUCCUAUCUAUUCUAUUUUUGUCUUACGAGGCCAGGUUCUUUCCUUGGCAAACAUAAAUAUUUUAAGCUCUAGACUCUAGUAAUUAGUUGAUGGUCAAUGAGCACUUGAGAUUGGUGCAGAAUCAAUAAAUUGUUGACUAAACUAAUGCUCGACAUAAAAUAAAUGCUAAACAAGAUAUUUUCCUUUUUGUGGUGUAAAGUUGUAGUGCAAAUUUUACAAUGGUUUGGCUAAUUAGGCACCCGUUAGGAAGGGGGUUCGAGUGUUUUUUUUUUUAAAUGUAAUUAAUUUGAGACAGCAACACAAAGAGGUGUAAUAAUUGUAAUUAUAUGUAUUCAUAUGGUAAGUUAGGUGUAAUUUAUGUGUAUUAAUGAAUGUCUACUGCUAGUUAGAAAUACCUUUUUCGCAACCAUAUCGCAUUUAGUUAUUGAAAUUCAUAAAUUCAAAAUAAAAAAAUACUUCUACUCCAUUUCUUUUCUUAAAAGGGUUGCUUUACGAGAGUAUUUUUAGUACAAAAUAUGUGAUAAUUUCAGAAACCUCCAUUGACUAUUUCACUGGCCCCCCCCCAAGUUUUCAAAAUUACGCUAACCUCCUUGAGAUUAAUUAUAUUGUAACAUUUAGGCCCAAUCAAUAAUUAAAAAGUGAUAUUAUGAGAAAGAAAAUAAUAUGAUUGCAUUAUUGCUCCUCAUCUACUACAUUAUUCAAUUAAUUUAAUACCAACACAUACAUUAAAGAAAAAUAGUAAAAUUUGUUGUUUAUCAUUAGGGAUCAAAUCACAUAUAACAUCAAAAAUAGUAUAUCAUUUUAUUUUUUUCACUUAAUACAAAAUUCAAAUUACUUUUUUCAAUUAUCUACCACUGUCAAACAUGAUCAACAACAAAUAAUCAAAAAAUUUGCAACCAAAGUAUUACAAAAAACAAACUUUAACAUCAUAAAUAUUCUUGUCAACAUAUUAAAAUUAGUUGCUAAGAUUUUUAUGAUAUUAAACUUCGAUCUUUGUAAUAUUUUAAUUACAUUUUUAAUUAUUUGUUAUUAAUCAUGUUUGGCAAUAAAUUUAUAACUAAAAAAACAAUUUGAACCUUACAUCAAGUGAAAUAUGUAAAAUGAUAUAUUAUUUUUAAUGCCAUAUAUGAUUUAAUCCCUGAUAAUAAAAAGAAAACAAAAGCAUUUUUUUUAAUGUUCGGGUUGGUACUAGAUUAAUUAAACAAUUUAGUAAAUGAGAAGCAAUGGAAAAAUCAUAUUAUUAUCUCUAUCCUAAUCUCAUUUUUUAAUUAUUAGAUGGACAUAAAUGUUACAAAAUAAUAAACCUCAAGAGAGUUUAAUGUAAUUUUCAAAAUUUAGAGAAAGGCCAGUGAAAUAAUCAGAAACCUCACGAGAUGUUUUUGAAAUUAUCCCGCAAAAUAUUAGUAGUUCCAUUUAGCUAUGCUGUAGAUUAGCUAUUGAGGCUUCAGUCAUUGAUAUCAAUUACCUGAAUCCCAUACGUUGCAUGAAUUAAACAUCACAAACUCUUCUGGUAUUAAUUGGUAUUUAAUGCUGUAACUAUAAGGACAUCCAUUGAUACAUAAAUUCUGAUACAAGUCAUGCUCCAUUUCCACUUUCUUCCCUCUUCAUUCAUUUCUCUGUCCUCAAUGAAGUAUGGUCCAUGCAUGAAACAUGAACCUUAUGGUGUAUGCAUGAAACUCAUUUAAGAAGAAGACCAAUAGGAGAGUUAUACUAUGUUGUCACAAUUUAAAUUUUCAGAUUCCAAAGAAAAUAACUAUUCCUCCCCUCCAAAAUCAUCUUUUGAUAGUAUUUGACUGACUUGAGAAGGGCAAUUUUAUCCCUUUAUCAUCAUUAGUCAUGGGAAGCACUAGUCAACGAAGUGUGUACAACCAGGUUCAGCAUAUUGGCCAGUGUCAACUGUAAGAUCUCAUACACUUGGUAUCAAGCUUCAAGCAGAUUAUAACCCAAAAGACAAGUAAUAAUUUUGUGGUACAAAUGGAAAAUCAGAAAAUGAGGAUUUGUUAUUUAAAUUUCACGAGGUACUAUGAACUAAAACUAGAGAUGGUUUUAGAGUAAAUGAACUUAAGAGCAGACUAUUUCUUUUGCUCCAAAACUAUUUGUAAUUUAUGUUACCACAUUAGAAUUAAAUAUUGCUACUCUUUCGGAAAAGCCAUCAUCUUCACACUUGGAUAACAAAAUAUCAAAGGACAGAAAGAGCACCUUGCAAAAGUUGGAAAACUGUUCUGGUUUUCUAUGGAGAUCCAAAUUCUCAAAAUGUGCCCCAGAGCAAUUUACCUGCUACAAACUGGACAAAAGUUGUGUAAAUUUCUGCUUUGCAGUCACCUCUUUUUCCCAAUACUUAUUCAAGUACUAGCAGACCAAAAUAAGUAAAACUUUUGCAUAGAAGUCAACUUCGGAUUUACUUCACAUAUCUGCUGCUUCUCUAAUCGUAAAAGCCAGGUAACAACACAUGAGAAGGAGCUUAUUUGAAAAAAUCACUCUCUUCAGAGCAAAAGGCACAGAUGGCAGUUAGGCCAGGAAUAAGAUAUGUACCUUGCCCUUUGCACUCUGGUUGGGCUCAGAAAUUGUCCAAGAUGCCAGAGCUCGGGAAAGGAGGCAUCAUUACGCAGGUAGCAUGGAACUGUCAAUCUCUCCUUGGCAACAGCAUGGUGGAAAAUACCCACUUACGUCACAAAUUUAUCAAAGUCGGAGACACAAGAUGAUACGAAUCCGCCAGGAGGUAUGAACUCGUAUCCCACACAGCUCUCGGAUCUAGACGAAGAAACCAAGUUGGUACGCGGAGUAACACUCGGAUCCCUAAUUUUAUGAGGCGAACCUUGGACUUAACCUCAACCCACAAACACUCGAGAAGGUGAAACAAAGUUACAAGCAAAAGAACGCCACAAUCAAGGUGUGAACUUGAUUGAUAAGUUCAAGAAUACUCUCGAGCAAUUAUCAAAUAUUCAAAGGGGAUUCUCUUAGUGCCUAUUUGAUAACAUAAAAAAGUGAUGAAACUAAAUUCAUUCAGACAUUCAGAUGUUGUGGGUGUUUGAUAAAUAAAAAUUCACCUGCUGAACUUAUUAAGUGGUGCUGAAUUUGUAUGUAUUUUUUUCAGCACAAGAAUCGUAACUGAAUGCUUAAUUUGAUAAGAGUCAAGAGAUUUACUUCAACUACUUUAUCUUAUCUACCAAAUAUAUCCCUGUUUGUUAAUUACAUUCAAAAUCCUUAUUUAAUUAAACAACCUAAUAUUCCCUAUUCAAAAUCCUUAUUUAAUUAAACAAAACAACCUGAUAUUCUCUAUUCAAAAAUUUUUUUUAACAAUAAUAAUUUUUUGCAGUAAUUUUCAUCCACAAACAUUUAUAUUUUGAUUUUUUUUUGUGCAGAUAAAUAUUAUUUAUGUGAUGCAGUUUAUCCACACACACGUGACUUUAUGACACCAUAUCGAAAUAUUAGAUAUUGGUUGUCUGAUUUUCGAAAUGCUUCUCGUCUAAGAUCAAAAGAAGAACGUUUUAACCAAACACAUGCAAGAUUGAGAAAUGUAAUUGAACGUGCUUUUGGAGUAUUAAAAGCUCGUUUUUCCAUUCUCAAAAAGAUGAAACCAUACCCUUUUCCCACACAAAGAAACAUUGUCAUUGUAUGCAUUGCUCUUCACAAUCAUUGUCAUUUUCAUACCUAACAAUUUUAAGUUAAUUAAAUCAUAGGUUCUAUUUCCUUUUUGGAUUAAAAGAUAGAAGGGCAAAAUUGUAUAAUUUAGCUUAUUAAGCAUUAAGUUAUGAAUAUUUAUCAAACAGUAUAAAUAGAUUCAGCAUUAAGAUUCAGACAUUCAUAUAUCUCUUUUCAGUGCUUAAAAUUCAGCAAAUUAAUUAUUUCAAUAUUCAGAAUUCAGAAUUCAGAAUUCAGAUUCAGUGUUAUCAAACGGAGCCUUAGUCAAGAGAAAAGUGUAAACACUCAAAUUUCUGAUUUCUUAUUCAAUGACUCCAGAAACACUCCAAGUGUUUGGCUAUUUAUAGUUUUACACAGACCCAAGACCUAAAGUGAUUUGGAAUCACUUAUGACCUAAAUUAAAUGAUAAUUAAAUAAAGUAACUAGAUAAAGUGACUAGAUGGGCAGACGACUUGAGUUUAUAAAGCGUGCCCACGCCUUAUAAUAACUUUGUUGCGAUGAAUCAAUUAAAUAGCAGAAGACGCAUCCUUAUAAAGCGUGCCCGCGCCUUAUAACAUUUUUGCUGCGAUGAAACUAAAUGAACUGCUCGAGCUCGCGUAACCAGUCCUAGUGGGACUUGAACCUUAUCCGAUGGCAUAACUUGAUGGCAUAGCUUGACUCGUAUCAUUCCUCUCCUCUUGAAAGUAAUUUGCCCACAAAUUGAAGUAUGAAUGAUGAUAAGAAGAGUUACAUGCCGUCGAGUCAAUUUUGUUACGAUUACUACAAGUUUCAUCCAAUGCAUAAACCACUUGCUAAGCUGAAAAGUAAACCUUGUUGAAUCUUGAAUGUCAUGAACCAGCUUCAAUGUAUGCCCAACUUGAUCGCUUGUGAUCAUGAGGUAAGGAUCCUCAAAGUGAUGCGAUAUAGAUCCUAUGAAAUCAAACUCCUCAAACUUGAAUAAGCUUGCAAAGUAUGGAAGCUGACUUGGUGAAGUUGGAGCUUCAAGUGGACUAGGUGCAAGAUGAGCAUAAGUACUGUAGUGACCAUUAAAAACCUCGCUCCUUGUGUAAACUUGUGAAACAUGGUCGGUUCUAACGUCUUGAGGGUACACAUAGUUUGAUCCUCUAAAGACGUGAACAGCUUUGAAAUCAUCCGAUUCCAUGAAUGGGAACCAAAUUGAUCUAACUCCUAGAAGACAAACUCCAUGGAAACUCGCAAAUUGUACAAGUGACUUUGGGAUGGAACAUUGUAAGAUCAAAACGAUUGCACUUUGCUUAACCUGCACAAAACAAGGAACACUAGACACAGCAAUGUUAAGGUUGUUAGAAUGGCAAUAAGUCCCCUCACUUUUAUUUUUGUUGAAACCCAAAAUCAGUGCAUUAUCCCUCCUUUCUUUCGCUUCCUCAUUCAACACUUUGGAUUUUUCAAUCUCUUGCUCCCUCUCAAGCAUUACAUCAUUACUUACACACUCAAGUUGUAUCUCACUUUUCUCACAUAAAUCUUCAACUAAUUCUUGAUUUUGGACUAGUGUAGGUUGAAGUUCAUGAGAAUUAGCCUCAAUACGAUCCUCUGUAAGAGAUUUUGAGAAGUGCAUUCAACUUGCUUCUUCAUUUGCUUUUCUCGAAGAAGGUGUUGGCAAGUCACCCAGCAUGACUCCACAUGAGAUGGUUCAACUCUAGGUUUAGACCUAGAAGAUGUUAAAUGAACCCUCUUAUCACCUUUUGUAUAAAUCGGCUUUAGAGAGGCAGAUUGCAUUGGACCCCUCUUCUUGAGAGAUUCAUUCUCACGCCUCAGUUUAUGCUUCUGUUCCCUCAGCCUUUGUUCCCAAUCUUCAAGGUUGGUGUCCACCUUUGAAUCACUAGAUUGGGGGUGACAAUUUCCGACACGAUCUGAAAACACGACACGAAUCUAACACGAAAUUAAUGAGUUUGGGUUGAGAUUUUGUGGGUUCGGGUCAGAAUCGGGUCGAAUCCGAUGGACCCGAAAAGAAAACGGGUCGAAUUCGUGUCAAGUCGUGGGUGACAUGAUAUGACCCGAUAACCCGUUUACGAAUUAAAAUAAUUUAAUAAAUAUAAAAAUUAUUUUAUCUAACUAAACUAAGUUAUUCUUUUUUUCUAAAGGCAUUAAUCACUUAAUCCUAUAUGAAUUUAUUUAACUUGUAUGAAGUUGAAAUUAUUAUAUUUGAACAAAUAAUGUAUUAUAUUAUUUUUUACUUUUAUACUGUUUUAAUUUAUUUUAUAUUUGGUUUGGGAUAAAACACUUUUACAGUUUUUUAAUUUAUUUUAGAUUUGAUUUGGGAUUAUUUAUUUAAAUUUUUAUUAUUUGAUUAUGUAAUUAGUCUUGUACGAAAUUGAUUUUAUUAGAAAUUACAGUGGUAAAUUAAUAAAUUAAAAUUAAAUUUCGGGUUAUUUUGAGUCGACCCGCAAACCUGAAAUUUUCGGGUUCGGGUCAGGUAUCUUGACUCGUUUCGGGUUGGUGGAUCAGGUUCAGGUUAACGAAUUUUUUGUUAUACCCGAAUCUCUGAGGUGCGUAGGAUAUACAUAUACAAUUUAGUUCAUCCACAAUCAAGUUUUACAUUUAUAAAUUUCUAAAUACCCCACACGCGAUUUAUUGCAAGUAUACGAAUCGUGAGCGAGUAUAGGGUAUUAAGGAUCUAUCCCACAGAGAAAAUUGCAAUUAUCGAUGUUUUUCGAAUUCCUUUAUUAUUUAAACUACCAUAAAUAGAAGAAUUGAAAUUAUAUACAUUGUAUGUGAUUGACUUGUUGGUUUCAAAUAUUGGACUUGUGUUUAAAUUCAAAAAAUUUUCAAAAUCUUGUCCAAAUUUGCCUAAAAAAGUUACAAAUUUUUUCAAUUUUAUCCAAAAGGGUAACAAAUUUCAUACCAUUAGUAGUUCAAAUUCCUUCUACAUUUGAAAUAAAUAUAUGUAAUUCGGAAACUGUUUUUCUCAUUUAAUUUGAAAAUAACUAUUAUAUGAUUAUAAUUUGUGCAUUUGUAGGAAAGUAUAUCUUGUAAAGUGGAGAAAAUUAUGCAUUUUUUUUGUAUAUUUAAUAAAAUUUCUUCUCUUUAUUUCAUUUUAUAAGUUAAAUGAUAAAUAUGAUCAAUAAGUGCAAUACUCUUCUUAUGAUUAUUUUUUUGAGAAAAUUAUUAUUAUCUUUGUUGUUAAAAAAAAAGAAAAAAAAGUGGAAAGAAAAAAGAGAAAAAAUGAAAAAAAAAGAAGAAAAAAUAAAAUAAGAUUUGUUCUACUCCAAUGAUUCUUGUACUUAGUAACCGGGAGUUUUCAUCUACAAAUGUUGACUUUCGUCUAAAACAUUACUUGAAUUAAGAGUAUGCAAAGCAACUUGAGUAUGUAAAGUGUUGAGCAACCGGUGAUUUUCAUCUAAAAAUAUCGAUCCUCACAUCAAAAGUCAUUCUCACGUCUUAAGUAAUAUUUAGAUAUGUUAUAUGAAUAAAUAUUUUUUUAAAUAGAAUAAAAAGAUGAUCACAAGUUUAGGAAGCAUUAUUAUUGACCAUAUGAGAUGCUUGUUUGUGAAAUUUGGUAAGGAUAAAAAAUCGAUUUGAAUUUGUUAUAAUGGUGGUAGAAAUGGCUCUCCUUUACUUGAUAUUCUGAGUACUUGAGGAUUAAUGAAAAAUUGCAUAAUGGUUAUUUACCUUGUUUGGAGAAAAUGAAGUUGAAUGGUGCACAUAUGUUUAUUUUCAAAAUAUUGGAUCAUUGUUGGUUUGUAUUUUUAAUUACUUGAGGACAAUCAAUGGUUCAAGUGUGAGGGUAUUUGACAAAUAGAUAUUUUACGUAUUUUUAAUGUGUUUUAUUGAUUAGUUUUGGUGUAUUUUAUUUAGUUUUAUAGCUAAUAAACGAGAAUUCUAGUGAAAAUAUACAUUUUAUGAUUAAAGUGUAAAAAAUUACAUUUUAUGAUAAAAUCUUCAUUUUUUGUAGCUUUAAUGAUUCAAUCAUCAAAUGGAGUGCAUUGAGAAGAUAAUUGAAUGAUUGAUGAUGGUUUAAAGUGAUAAAAAUAAAAUAUGAAGUGUAAAAGAGAAAAUGCAAUUCAAGGACAAAGAAUGCAAGAAAAGUCAACUUUGGCAACCUGUGAUAUUUCGGUAUAUUUUGAGCUAUAUACAUUGGUUUGAGAUGAUUCUUGUACCAUUUUGAAGCUAAGAGACGUAUCUAAAUUUGGUAUGAAAACAUCAAAAUCCAAUUCAACCAUUUUCCUGAUCAAAAUGCUGAAAUACAGAAGUCAAAAUCUGCUGUCGAAAGUUGACAAUAGAGCUUUAACCAGUCAGUGGUAUUUUGAUCAUAUCUCGGUCCACAGAACUCCAAAUGGGAUGACUCUUGAGGCAUUGGAAAGAGAAUUCAAAGAUCUAUAACUUUCUUGUUUUACACAAGAACUGGUUCUGUCUCAAUCAUAGAGAAAAUUACAGUUAAAUUGUCCAGAUUUUUCUUAGUUGACAAGUAGAUAUUUUAGGUAUUUUUAGUAUGUUUUAUUGAUUAGUUUUGGUGUGUUUUAUUUAAUUUUAUAGCUAAUAAACUAGGAUUCUAGUGAAAAUAUACAUUUUAUGGUUAAAGUGUAAAAAUUGCAUUUUAUGGUAAAAAUUUCAAAUUUUAUAGAUUUAAUGAUUCAAUCAUCAAAUGGAGUGCAUUGAAAAGAUAAUUUGAUGAUUGAUGAUGAUUUUGAAUGAUAAAAAUAAAAUAUGAAGUGUAAAAAAGAAAAUGCAAUUUAAGAACAAAGAAUGCAAAAAAAGUCAGUUUUGGCAACAUGUGGUAUUUCGGCUAUAUCUUGAGUUACAUAUAUUAGAUUGAGAUGAUUCUUACACCACUUUGCAGUUAAGAGACGCAUCUAAAUUUGGUAUGAAGACAUCAAAGUUCAAUUCAGCUAUUUUCCUGAUCAAAAUGUCGAAAUAUAGAAAUUAAAGUCUGCUGCCGAAAGCUGACAAGAGAGUUCUGACCAGUCAGUGAUAUUUUGAUCAUAUCUCGGUUUUCAGAACUCCAAAUGGGAUGAUUCUUGAGACAUUGGAAAGAAAAUUCAAAGAUCUACAACUUUCUUGUUUUACACAAGAGUUAGUUCUACCUCAUUCAUAAAGAAAAUUACAGUUGAAUUGUCCAGAUUGUGGUCAGAAAUGAUUGCUCUCCAAUUGUGCAACUUAUUUCCUUCUUUAAUAAUUCACAGCUAUUGAUUAACGUGUAACAACCAAUUAGCAGUGGUAAAAGGGAUGUUUCAAGCCUCAUUUCUUGACUAUAUUCAUCUAUAUAUAGUCAUGGACUUAUAAGAUUCAAGAUAACUUUGAAAUAUUAGAGAAACUCACCAGAAAUGUAGCUUUCACUAGUUUUUCUUAGUUUAUUAGUUAGGAUAGUGUUUCCUUCUUGUAUUAGUAGCUAAACUUAGAUGAAGUUGAGAAUGAAGAUGGAGAGCAUGGAGUUCAAGUGACAUAGGUGAUAUUUUUCCUAUCACUUUAUUUCUUGUAUUGCAUCUUAUGUUUAAUUAUAAUACAAGUAUGAAUCUUUCUUUUAUGGGUAAAAUACACGGAACCCCCUUAUGAUUUCGCGAAAAGACACCUUACUUCUCCUAUCGUUUAGAAAUCUACACAUAAACACCAUAAACUUCACAACUAAAGUGAAAAUUGACCUAUAACCAACUGAGUUACCGGUAACCUGAUCGAUUCAGAGUUAGGAGAGGCAGAGAAAGCCAAAAAAUGAAAGAGAUGGAGGGUGGUUCCAAUAGUAAUCCAAGUUCAGCGGCGUGGUCAGCACCUCAGCUUCCCACUGACCAAAAAAUCAGACGCAUGAAAGUCUAUUGGCAUGCCGCUUUAAUUUCCAACUUUGUUCUUGGAGGUCAGCACCCACCUCCCAAAAAACAACUCCAAUACUACUAUCCUUCUUUCUUGCGCUCGUGCUACUUAUUUCUGUAUGUGCUUGCUUAUAAAUGCACGUCUACAUUACUGCUGAAUUUGCUCUAUGAAAUGGUGAUUACGGGGAUUUAUGAAGAUGCUCUGUGUUGAACGAUUGAAGCCUAGUUUCUUCAUUUUACAGUUGUUCCGGCAUGAAACUCUUUUUCCUGUUUCUCUCUUCAAGAGCCAUCAACCGCAACCACCUGAAUCUGACUCUGAAGGACCCAGAGCCAAGAAGAACCUUUUCUUGUGAACAAGAGGAUCUCACCCUUCAUGGGUUGUCCACCAUUUCGCUCCUGAAACCUAAGCCCUCCCAUGCCAUGAGUCUAUAACAACCACAGAUAGCUCUAUAGCUGGAAAGCCCCUAAUUGUAAGCAAUGGGUUCAAUUAUUAUCAACAAACUAGUAGCUGUCAGCAACACACACUUCUUCCCAGUUGCAAUGAAAGAAAAACUAUGCUAAAACUCUUAGACUAAACCAGCUUGUAGUAACAGUUGUUUCCAGAGAGAAGAAUCUGAUUGCCUUUGCCACAGGGACACUUGAAAUGAAUGCUUAGGCACUUCUCAGCUCACAGCUUCUUCUGCAUAUCCUCUAUUGUCAUCCUACAUUAACAUUUGCAUUAAACCCAAAACAGCAGCCUUAGACAGGAUUUUUUCAUCUUCAGCACCUUCACAGUCAUCGUGGUCAGCACCUCAACUUCCCACUGACCAAAAAAUCAGACGCAUGAAACUUGAUUGGCAUGCUGCUUUAAUUUCCAACUUUGUUCUUGGAGGUCAGCACCCACCCCCCAAAAAACAACUCCAAUACUACUAUCCUUCUUUCUUGCGCUCGUGCUACUUAUUUCUGUACGUGCUUACUUAUAAAUGCACGUCUACAUUACUGCUGGAUUUGCUCUGUGAAAUGGUGAUUGUGGGGAUUUAUGAAGAUGCUCUGUGUUGAAUGAUUGAAGCCCAAUUUCUUCAUUUUUUUUCCCCGCAUUCUUGAGCUGCUGUUUUACUUGGGUUCCUUGUCCUUCUUGACAAUAUUGCAUUUUUAUACGUUUAUGCAUUUUUGUUUAGGAUAGUGUGCUUGGCAGUGAUCGUUUGAAGUGGGGUUUGAGGCAUGAGCCUUUUGGCCCUAGAAGGUUGGAGGAAAGGGAGGUGGGGAUAUUGGCAGUAGGGGAAUGGUUGCCUAUGUUCUGUUUGAUUUAAUGAUAGGACGUCACAUUGUGCUGACACUCAACCAGUUCUUGAUUCUCUAUCCCUCUCCAUUAUAAAUGAGGAUAUUUUGGGUAUUCAACCUACAGCCGGUAACUCAACCGGUUAAGAAGUCAAUUUUCAUUUUAGUUAUGAAAUUUAGAGUGUUUAUGUGUAAGGUUCUAAACGAUAGAGGGGUAAUGUGUCUUUUCGCGAAACCUUAAGGCGGUUUCGUGUAUUUUACCGUUCUUUUAUUUUCUUCAUGUUUAAUUAAAGUUUAUGCCUAGAGUAUGGAUGAACUUUCUAUAUCUUGUUUAUGAUGUUUACUUGGUUAUUUGGUGAUAUUAUUUUGAACAAGUUGCUUAUCACUUUUGCUUUUCUAAUCAUGAUUAACUGACAAUUAAUUGUGAUUAUCUAAAGGUGUUAAAUUUGCAAUGAAAAUUGAAACUUAAUACUAGUUCAAGGAAGUGAUAAAUCUAGGUAGUACACUCACGAGGGUAGAAGUGCACCUUUAUGACUUUAGUGAUUUAUUUCAUGUAAUUUUAUAGAAAAAAUGAGCUUGUAAUUAAUAUCAUAACUACGAGAGUAGGUAUGGUUUAACUACAAGUAUAGUCGAUUCACUACGAGAGUAUGUUUCACAUACAUUUAAAAAUUACGCCAUAACUAACCAAGAUAAUAGCAUUCACUUAACCGGUAAUCUCAUUUCCAUAUCUCUAAGAGUUUUCUAGUGUUAUUUUUCAUUAAUUUUAUAUUUAUAAUAGUCUAAAUAAUAAAGGAGUUCGAAAAACACCGGUAAUUAACAGAAAAUAACAUUCAAGAAAAACUAAUAAAGUUGAUCUUCACGCCGAUAUUGCCAAAUCUUUCCCGACAACGCCGCCAAAAACUUGACGGAAUUUUGAUAUACGUAUAAGUUAAAAAUUCGAAAUACAUCCGUUUCACUGCAAGUAUACAGGUCAACUAGUAGUUUAGGGUAUAUAUCGGAUCGAUCCCACGAGAAAAAUUGAACAAUUACCGGCACUACUAAAAUUUCUCUAUUAUUUAGACUAUUAAUGAAUUAUAAGAAAUGAAACCUACUGAAUUUAUGCAAAAUAACAAAUAAAAGUUCCUUAAAUUAUGGUAUCCCUAACUACUCAUGCAAGUGUCAUUUUUGAAUUAUUGAGUACUAUUAUCUAGACUAGUUAUAGUGUAAUUUCUUUAUGCAUAUGAUUCCUACUUUCAUAGUGAAUCAAUUAUACUCAUAAAUAAUCCAUACCUAUUCUCAUGGUUAUAAAAUUGGUUAUAAGUUCAUUUUUUCUGUGAAAUUACAUGAAAUGAGUCACUUAAAAUCACAUAGGUGCACUCCUACUCUCGUAAGUGUAUUCCCUAUAUUUAGCACUUAUUGAAUCAAUGUUAAAUCUCAAUUUUCAUUGCAGAAACAGCAUCUUAGAUAAUCACAAUUAAUGGUAACAGAUUAAUUUUGAUUUAAAGAGCUAAAGUGCUAAAUAACUUGUUCAAAUAAUAUCACCAAAUAACCAAGUAAAUAUCAUAAACAAGAUAUAGAAAAUUCAUCCAUACUCUAGACAUAAACUUUAACUAAACAUGAAGAAAAUAAAAGAAAGAUCCAUACUGGUAUUAUAACUAAACAUAAGAUGCAAUACAAUAAAUAAAGUGAUAGGAGAGAAAUGUCAUCCAUGUCACUUGAACUCCAUGCUCUCUAUCUUCAUUCUCAACUUCAUCUAAGUUUAGCUACUAAUAUAAGAAUGAAACACUAUCCUAACUAAUGAACUAAAAAAAACUAGUGAAACAAUUCUGGUGAGUUUCUCUAACCUUCCAAAGUUAUCUUAAAUCUUGUAAGUCCAUGGCUAUAUAUAGAUGAAUGUAAUCAAGAAAUGAAACUUGAAACAUCCCUUUUACAGCUACUAAUUGGUUGUUACACGUUCAUCAAUAGCUGUGAAUGAUUAAAGGAAACAAGUUGCACAAGUGAAGAACAACCAUUUCUGACUAGAGUCUGGACAAUUCAACUGUAAUUUUCUCUAUGAAUGAGGCAAAACUAACUCUUGUGUAAAACAAAAAAGUUGUAGAUUUUUGAAUUCUUUUUCCAAUACCUCAAGAAUCAUCCUAUUUGGAGUUUUGUGGACCGAGAUAUGAUCAAUAUACCGCUGACUGAUCAGAGCUCUAUUGUCAGCUUUCGACAGCAGACUUUGGCUUCUAUAUUUCGACAUUUUGAUCAGGAAAAUGGCUGAAUUGGACUUUGAUAUUAUCAUACCAAAUUCAAAUACGUCUCUUAGUUUCAAAACAGUGCAAGAAUCAUCUCAAUCCAAUAUAUGUAAUUCAAGAUAUAGCUGAAAUACCACAGGUUGCCAAAACUGACUUUUCUUGCAUUCUUUGUCCUCAAAAUUGCAUUUUCUCUUUUACACUUCAUAUUUUAUUUUUAUCACUUUAAACCAUCAUCAAUCAUUCAAUUAUCUUCUCAAUACACUCCAUUUGAUGAUUGAAUCAUUAAACCUAUAAAAUAUGAAAUUUUUACCAUAAAAUGCAAUUUUUAUACUUUAACCAUAAAAUGUAUAUUUUUACUAGAAUUCUAGUUUAUUAGUUACAAACUAAAUAAAGCACACCAAAGUUAACCAAUAAAACACACUAAAAAUACGUAAAAUAUCUACUUGUCAAAUAAGAAAAAUUUGGACAAUUCAACUGCAAUUUUCUCUAUGAAUGAGGCAGAACUAGUUCUUGUGUAAAACAAAAAAGUUGUAAAUCUUUGAAUUCUCUUUCCAAUGCCUCAAGAAUCAUCCCAUUUGGAUAUCUGUGGACCGAGAUAUGAUCAAAAUAUCACUGACUAGUUAGAGCUCUAUUGUUAGCGUUCGACAGCAGACUUUGACUUCUGUAUUUCAGCAUUUUGAUCAGGAAAAUAGUUGAAUUGAAUUUUAAUGUCUUCAUACCAAAUUUAGAUACGUCUCUUAGCUUCAAAAUGAUGCAAAAACCAUCUCAAUCCAAUGUAUGUAGUUCAAAAUAUAGCCGAAAUACCACAAGUUGCCAAAACUGACUUUUCUUGCAUUCUUUGUCCUUAAAUUGCAUUUUCUCUUUUACACAUCAUAUUUAUUUUUAUCACUUUAAAUCAUCAUCAAUAAUCCAAUUAUCUUCUCAAUGCACUCCAUUUGAUGAUUGAAUCAUUAAACCUAUAAAAUAUGAAAUUUUUACCAUAAAAUGCAAUUUUUACACUUUAACCAUAAAAUGUAAAUUUUCACUAGAAUCCUAGUUUAUUAGUUACAAAACUAAAUAAAAUACAUCAAAACUAACCAAUAAAAUACACUAAAAACACGUAAAAUAUCUAUUUGCCAGUCUCAACUCGACCGGCCAACUUGAAACGGACCCAAUUGCCACCCCUACACUAGACUCAUUCAAAGGUGGUUUCCCUCGAGAUUUCUUCGAGGAAUUCCUUGAAGUUUCUAGAUUAUCAAUGCAUUUAUGGAUUGUCUCGAACUUAAGAUCAAACUUUCUUUGAAACUCCGCUAACAUAGCAUCCAAUUUAAGAGCAAAUUGAGUAAUAGUCAUUUCAUCUCCACUUGCCAUUUUUUUUUAAACUUGCAAGACUCAACAAUCUUUAGUAGAAAAUGCCCACCUCUCUCUCUUACGCAUUUCUCUCGCACUCGUGUAUCGCUUGAGUGUAUAAAUCAUUCUAAUGAUCUCACCAACACUUCAACUAGGAUUUCAAAGUCAUUCUAAUGAUACCACCUCUCAAGUCACCGAUUGUCCCUCUUGAAGAAGUAGAAUUAUUCAAUGCGUAUUAUUCAAACUCCUCCCCAAGUCACACCAAGAAUAUAGCGUUUAAUUGACGGAAGUUUGGAAGAUAAUAGCUGAUUUUGGUUGGCUCAAAAGGACUUAAACAGGCUGGAAAUUUUAACUUGAUUUGGACAAACAAUUACAUUUUAAAGAAUUUAAACAUGCUAGAAAAUUUGAUUUGAAAAAUUUGAUUUGAACGGGUUGGAAAAUUUGACUUGCCUUGGGGCCUAUUAAACACAAAUAUUUCGUGCAUAGAGACUCAAAGACACCUUUACAAUCCCAAGUUUGUGGCUGGACAGUUUGCAAAAAUUUAGACAAGAGUGCGACAACAUUUUGAAAAUUUAGAAGUACUAUACCCACUUACAUUUGUCUGAUUUGUUUUUGGAAAGUUCCUACAAGUUUCCUUGGAAUUGUUUUUGAAAUGUGAUGACAGCUGUCUUGGGAAAAUUCUAACGGCUAAAACUAAUUGAAAAAAAGUCAAAUUUGUUAGUCUUUGAUGGUGACAAGAAUUGUUAUUGUCAAACCCAAAACCAAUUAGAAUUUCCAAACCAAGACACCUUUAUUGAUCCAAAUCUAUUUUCUUUUUCUUGCGUAAGAGAAUUCUAAUGGCUGUAACUAAUUGAAAAAAAUCAGAUUUGGUAGUUUUUUAUGGUUACUAGAAUUGUUUUUGUCAAACCCAAAAUCAACUAGAAUUCCCAAACCAAGACACAUUUUUUGACCCAAAUCUAUUUUUUUUUCUUGCAUUUCUUCCUUUCCUUUUUUUUUUCUUUCUUUUUCUUUAAUGCAAAACAGAUGGUUUCCCUUCAAUUCAGAUCAAAGGUUCAAGAUCAAGAAACGGUUGAGACUUGUGUACAAGGUAGCUACUAUUUCGUUCAAAACAAGAACUAGGUAUAUCAAAAAUUCAAGAACCCACCAACACUUCAACUAGGUAUAUCAAGAAUUCAAGAAACAAGGUAAGUAUGUCAAGAACUUCAAGAAAUUAAUGUAAACAAUUUCAACCUCUUUAGUACAAGACACGGACAAACCCUAGCCCCCCUUUUGACAAGAAGAACCCCUAGUUUAUCCAAUGGCUCUUCAAAAUACUACAACUAGAUUUUUUUUUUUCGGAUGAACAGUACUAUAAACAGUGCCGCUAAUUUUUUUUUUACUACUACAAGAACAAGAAACAAGAACGACAAGGAGACCCAACAAGAUCAAACAUUAUGCAACGAAGAAAGAAUUCAGAUAGCCACAAAUAACGACAACAAGUAUAGUAUGGAUUAAACUAGUAUACACGACAAAGUCAAUCUAGUGACACAACUAACUAGAUCAAGCGAUCAAAUUUGAAAAACACGAGGGAGAAUUUAUAAGAUUCGACGAGAUAUACUUAAUAACGUCAACUAGUUUUAAUUACCACAUAUUUGUGGUAUAAACACAAGUAUAAACUGAGGCGUGAGAAUGAAUCUCUCAAGAAGAAGAGUCCAAUGCAAUCUGCCUUCCUAAAUUCGAUUUACACAAAAGGUGAUAAGAGGGUUCAUUCAACAUCUUUUAUGCCUAAAUCUAGAGUUGAACCAUCUCAUGUCGAGUCAUUGAAGAAGAAAUCAGAAAUUUGAGUGUUUACACUUUUCUCUUGUCUAAGAGAAUCCCCUUUGAAUACUUGAGAAUUGCAAGAAAUCAGAAAUUUGAGUGUUUACACUUUUCUCUUGUCUAAGAGAAUCCCCUUUGAAUACUUGAGAAUUGCUCGAGAGUAUUUUUAAACUUAUUAAUCAAAUACACACCUUGAUUGUGACGUUCUUCUACUUGUAAUUUCGUUUCACCUUCUCGAGUGUUUGCGAGUUGAAGUUAAAUCCAAGGUUUGUUUCAUAGAGUUAGGGAUCUGAGUGUUACUCUGCGCACCAACUUGGUUUCUUCGUUUAGAUCCGAGAGUUACGUGGGAUACGAGUUCAUACCUCCGAGCGGGUUCGUAUCAGGUGGUAAUCAGAAUUAGUUGACGUUAUCAUAUAUAUCUCGUCGAGUCUUGUAAUUUUUCCUUUGUGUUUUCCAAAUCUAGUCGCUUGUUCUAAUUAGUUGUGUUACUAGAUUAUUUUUAUCAUGUAUAAUAGUUUAAUCCGUACCAUACUUAUUGUCGUUAUUGUGUGGCUGUCUGAAUUCUUCCUUCGUUACAUCGUGUUUGAUCUUGUUGGACUCCUUGUCGUUCUUGUUUUUUGUUCUUGUAGUAGUAAAAAAAAAAAAUUAGUAAUACUGUUCAUAGUACUGUUCAUUCGAAAAAAAAGAGAGGAAUCUGGUUGCUACUUGUCUUGAAGAUCCGUCGAUUUUCUUGACAAAGGGGUUUAGGUUUUUUUUUUUUUUGGUAUCUUGCUCUAAAAAGGUUGAAACUAUUUGCCUUGAUUUUCUUGAAGUUCUUGUCAAGCUUACCUUGUUCUUGAAAUUCUUGACAUAUCUUGGGAUACUGGGAUUGCUGACGAGGGUUUCUUGAAUUCUUGAAGCAAGGAUUCUUGAUACAGGUUCUUGUUUCUUGAAACCAAAAUAGCGGCUGUGGUGUGCAUAACGCAUCAUGUUCUUGAAACUUUGAGUUUGAUCCGAAUAGACAAAGGAAUAAAAGAAAAAAUCUGUUUGCGUUUGAAAAAAAAAAAAAGAAAAAAGAAGGAAAGGAAGAAACGCAAGAAAAAAAAAACAGAUUUGGGUCAAGAAAGGUGUCUUGGUUUAAAAAUCCUAUUUCAUUUUGGAUUUGACAAAAACAAUUCUAGUCACUAUCAAAGACUAACAAAUCUGGCUUUUUUUAAUUAGUUUCAACCGCUAGAACUCUCCCUAAGAUAGCCGCCAUCACAUUCCAAAAACAAUUCCAAGAAAAUUUAUAGAAACUUUCCAAAAACAAAUCAAACAAGUGCAAGUGGUUAGAGUACUUCUAAAUUUCUAAAAUUUUGCCGCACUCUUGUCUAAAAUUUUGCAAAUUGUCCAACCACAAAUUUGGGGAUGUAAAGGUGUUUUUGAAUCUCUAUCCACGAAAUAUUUGUGUCUAAGAUAUCCCAAAGAAAAGUCAAAUUAGUCUCAAUUUUCACAUUUUCCUAGUUUCCUAAUUUUAAGUCCUUUGAAAUUUAAUUGCUUGUCCAAGUCAAGUCAAAUUUUUCAGCCUAUUUAAAUCAAAAUUUUCAGCCUAUUUAAAUCCUUUGAAAUCUAAUUGCCUGUUCAAGCCACAUCAUUAGAAGACAUAGACACACUUUAUAAGUAUUAAGAAAAUAUAAGUAUCCUUGUAGAUAAUAAAUUAAUAAGGGUAUUCUUGUAAAUAAUUUAUUAAAUUUGUAUUACUAUAAAUACUAAUUGGUCACUCAUAAUAUAACGACUAAAUGUUUUCCUCCCAAAAUACCUAUUGUCAUGAUAUCAGAGCAAAAUCCUAGAGUUAGUGUUAAACAUCUAGCAAAAGUCGUGUUCACGCGAUAUUGGUCAUCGCAUUACUGUUCACGCGUACUGUUCAAAGGUACUAUUCAUCGCGAAUUUUGACUACCUUUUUGUUUGAAAUGCUAUUCACUAUAGUUGAAAGUUUAUCAAAAGAUAUCAUGACGUCCGCUAAUAUUAUGCCAAUGAUGAUGCCUCAAAUCACCCGUGAGUGCAAUACAUUUGUAAUAAGUUGGGUAUUUAUGAUAUAUAUGGUCCAGCUUGAGGGGAAGUGUUAAGAGAAUAUAAGUAUCCUUGUAGAUAAUAGAUUAAUAAGGGUAUUCUUGUAAAUAAUUUGUUUGGCUUGUACUACUAUAAAUAUUAAUUGAUCACUCAUAAUAUAGUGACUAGAUGUUUUCCUCCCAAAAUACCUAUUGUCAAUAACCUGAAGUCGUUUGCGAUGAAGCUGAAUGAACUGCUCGAGCUUGCGUAACCAAUCCUAGUGGGACUUGAAUCUUAUCCGAUGACAUAGCUUGAUGGCAUAGCUUGACUCGUAUCACAAGAAAUAAGAACACAAAUUAACUUGUCCCAACAAAUAUAAACGAAUAUAGGAACAAAUCUGUGAAAUUCUGACGUUCAUAAAAACCAACAAAAAGGAAAAAAAUGUGAUGGUAGAAUGAAAGAAAUACAAUGAACAUGGCCAACAAAUCAGAACAGAAGAAAACGAAAACUUAUAUAGUGACAAGAGCAGUCACGUUGUAGUUCUGGAUUCCUAAAGCAGCUUAAUUCUAUGAUUAUAGCCUUAGAAGUUCAUAUGAAGACCCCGGAGAUGUAGUAUAUGACUCUGGUUCAGCCUACGGUAACAAUAUUUGCUUAUUCAUGCCAGGGUAGGUCUACAACUAUAAGCAAAUCAACAUAUACUCUCUCUAAUAAUUCAAUAUACGUAGCUCUCACUCACAACUAGACAGCUUCUCAGAACCAGAAAAAGAGACCCAAAGCAAAGAAACCAUCUCAGUGACACAUCAAGUUACAACAUGCAUAAGCCAUAAAUCACGAAUGCACUGUGCUCCAACAGUCUAAGAAUGUAUAACAUGAGAACCCCCCUCCCUUCCCCCGCCCAAAAACACAUCUGGACAACCCCUUUCACCAUUUACGAAAAAAGAACAAUUAUAGUAAUAAAUAUUAACGCCACACACUGCACGUCCUGAUAGCCAAACAGUCUGAAGCCUCAAUGGAAACAAAGGCCACAUAACAGAAGCAAACUUCUAAUACUCAAUGCAGGAAAUGAAGCUUACCACAACAAAUUAAGAGUAACCAAAUUAAGGGACCAGAGGUCUUGAAGUAAGUUUGUCUCCAUGAAGUGUAAUUUUCCAACUAUCAGCUUGGAGCAUGAAAACAGAAAGCUUCUUGGGCACAACUGCAAUUGAUACAAGUGAUACAGUUAGAAAUCAUACUAGUAAUUUUGAAAAGCAUUUCAAAUGCGAAAUUUUUGAGCCACUCAUGUGGCUAAAGAAAUCAGAAAACAGAAGCAUGCUUGUUUGGCAACCAGACGAUAUUUGUUCAUAGUUCUAGCUAAGCACCAGACAAGCAUUAUCUUCCUGGUAAGUUGCUUCUCAAGAAAAUUUUUUUUUUCUCAAUUUGUCCAAACUUGACAGAUUAGUCACGGGUUUGUCCUUGUAAUGUGUUAAGUUACGGUUCUGGCAAAAGUAGCAGGCAAGCCUUAUUUUCUUACUGAGUUACACUGGGAGAAAAGUUUCAAAUAUUGAUUUGUCCAAACUUGGCAGAUCAGUCACAGAUUCGUCCCUGUAAUGUGUCAAUUUACCUGGGAACUCAAAAGUCAUGUUCUCCAUUUUAAAAGAACAUUAAAAAAAAAAGGGCUAACUUAGAGCUAUUUAUCAAAACUUUAUCAACAAAAGAGAAUUAUCCAGGGAGAAGCUAAGAACAGUAAAAAUAGUAGGUACUUAUUUACUUGAUUAUAAUUGAAAUAUUCUGUUUGAAACCAUGCGCAAAAUAACUUAUAAACUCAAAUUCAUAUUCUACAUCGUUUUAACUUUAAUACAACAAAAAGGGGGAAAAAAAGGAGCUAAUUCAAGGCAAUUUAUCAUAACUGUGCAACAAAACAGGAUUUUAUCCAACAAGAAGCCAACAACAGUAAGGAUUGUAGAUAUAUAUAUGAUCUCAGAAAUCUAUAAUUGGUGAUUAAAAGUUUGAAGCCAUGUGCAAGAUUUAUAACAAAAGCCAGACCAUAAAUUAUAAGCUCAGGCACAGCCCACUAACGUGACAUGUAAAUAAAAUACACACAGAAAAACUUCCUCAUGAUUGUUUCAUUCCCUAAACCAUUCAGAUGAGAGUUUCAACAACAGUUAACUCUUAUAACUUAGAUGCAAAUGCAACCAACAGAAAAUCCUGAAAAUUGCAAUCUUUAAAAAAAAAAAAAAAUAGAGGGGGCAAAGAAAAACAGAAAUUGCGCAUUACCUUGAAACUUAUUAUCUUCUGUAAUUAUUCCAAAUGUUUCAGCAGUUUCGCAAAUCAUGAUACCAUGAACUCCAUGUAAGGCUUCUAUUUUGCAUUCAACAACUGCAGAACACUAACUAAUCAAUUGGAAUACAACAUGAUAGAAAAUAUGCCACAGAUUCAUUAAAUGUUUUUAUAAAAUUUCUUCCUCGUGUGUUACAACUCAAGUGUGGCAUACUUUCUAAUAGAAAAACACCCACUGCUUUGUUAUAACCAUCUCUUUGAAGGUUAAAGUACAAUUACAAGUAAUAAAUCUAUAUUAUAUGGAAAUUGAACACAAGCCUAAAUAAAAUAAAAUAAAAUAAAAAAUUCACUCAGGGAGGUGUAUAAUGAGUUUCCACAUAUUCCAUGUCAAGAUACUCAGAAAUUUCCUUUACCAAAUGCUUAGAUGCAUUACCUAAAGCCAUUUAAGGUAGCCACUAUGAUUCUCUAACAGCAGGCAAUCUUUUAGUUUUUCAAAAGUAAUUAAAAUCUCCUCUCGUCUUUCAAAGAUAGUAAACCAAAUUUAGUUCAAACCAGGAGGCUGCCAUGAAAUUAAUAGAUAAGGUGCUAGUUAAUUGAAGAGCCAUUCGCUUAGCACAAUUUACUACAUAAUUUGGCUGAUAAUUUACACAGAACUAGAGCAGUUAGAGUUCAGUUUAUUACCUAAAAUGACAGAACCAUGUAAAUCCGCGUUGAGGAGACAUUGGGCCAAUUGAUUUUUCCUGCAGUAUUUAUGAUCACAGAUUAAGAGCAGAAAAUAUUUGCAAUGUAUAAACCUAUAGACAUUUGUUAAGUAAGGAGAUCACUUUUGACGAAAGGGAUUGAGCACAUAGCCGGCACAAAAUCAGGAAAGUAAGAAAUGAAAGACACUAACCCAACAUGCUUCAGAAGCUGACUUAUAUAGCUUUUCCACAUUUCAUGCAUCGGCUUAAAGAGUUCAAAGCUGCAAUAUAUAGGGCAGUGAGUCAUAAAGAAAAAUCAGUAUAGUGAAGAAUACUCAAGUACUUGGUUGUGCAAUCAUCAUGGUACUAUUAAAACACCAAGAUUAAUGAAAUAACAGAAAUAAUGAGCGUUGACAAUUAAACAACAAAUUUUUUUCCGAAAUCCCUACUUUGUUACUUUGCAAGAAAUCGUGUGACAUGUAAAUAACAAACAACAGAGGAACGGAAGAUGAACAAUCCAUCCUGGACUAAACUGUCAGCUUAAAGAACAAAAAAAGAGAACAAGAAAGAAGAGGAAUGAUGAAACAAAAAGCAGAAGAAUAUUGAUGCGAUCAGAACCUAAACACUAGAUAAAGCUCAUAGGUAUUCAAGAAAACAGGCCCAAAGGAUUAAUCUCAAUUAGACAAAUUAUACAUGGCAAUCAAUUAUCCAAAAUAAAGCAAAUUUCAGAGUAACUUUUUCC